rnacentral:lncRNA from 1 species
CAGGCCAUAAUUUACUAUCCUAAACCCAAUGUAGCCAUUUCUUUAAAAUUACUGUUAAAUAAACAUGAUAAUUCUUUUUUUUCUUUUUUUUCUUUUGUGUGUACUUUUUACAUGUUCGGAGGUGUGGGGUGGAUUAGAGUUCGAAGGUGGCUGUGGCUUGGGGAGAGUAGUUAUGGUGGGUUGUUGAUGAGGGGAAAGAGAGAAGAGAGAAGGGUAUUGCAGUUGAGAUUAAAUUUUUGUUUUAAUUAUAUUUCUUUUUAACUUUUAACUUUUAAUUAUUUAUUUUUAAAGGGUGUUAAUUUUCCCACUAUCCUUUUGUCCACUUACACUCUCUUUUAAUGAUAUUACAAAAGUAUUGAAAAGCAAAAGGGAGUGUAAGUGGACAAAAAAUGAGUGGGAAAAUUAGCCCCCUUUUUAACAAAUUUGAUCAUAUUGUCUAACGGUUCUAAGCCUAGAUAACAAAUUGACCAAAUUGAAAAACACAUAGACUAAAUUGGCCAACGGACUAAAACACAUUAAUCGUUUUUGCAUUUAAACUUUUUUAAUUUUAAUAUUAAUUCUUUCAAAUCUUUUACUUGAAUUAAAUGCAAUCAUAAUUAAUAUUAGUCUACUUUUAAAAGCAUAUUAAUUUAUUUAUUUGAAUAUCGAGUUAGAUCGAGCUGCCCAGUGCCCAACUUACAAAUCAUGGCGCAUACCUUAACCCUUCAAACUGAUCUACCCAUUGUACCCAGCCCAAAUACCAUCUCCUGAGGUGUCCUCAGCCGAACGAUUGAGGUGUCCUCAGGUGGUUGAUCAGAGAGACCGAUUGAGGGCCCAACCCUGGUGAUUAUCAGCGAUGCUCUCCCAAUAGCAACAACUGAAGGAAGUCUCAUUAAAAGGAGGAGGAGAAAGAGUGGAAUUGCAUGCACGAAUAUUAUUCAGAGAAAUAAUGGAAGAGAAUAAAAGGAUGAAAAGGAAGCAGCCAUGCCCAUGAUGGAUUGGUUGAUGCAUAUGCGUCAUCUACUUUUGGAAGAUUUAAAUUGCUGACAGGCAGCUGGUUUUGUAUAUAAUAUAUCUAGUGUAGUAGGAGGAGCAGCUGGUUGUGACUGAAAUGUUGAAACUUUGAAAACCGAGAAACUGGGAAACACCACAACCAUGCAAUUCAAAGCCAAAGUCUCCUUAGUAGGUCUCAAGUACUUUUCGUUUUAUAAGUGGACUUUGUAGACAUAGAAAAUGUGGAAAAUUCUAAUGUACUUUCAAGUAUUGAUACAUCAAAAUUUUCAACUGUUAGAUUUUAAUGUUUCAAUCCUAUGGCCGAGAAUGAAUGACUUGGUGACUGAUUGUUUCUUUAACUCUUACUUAUAUUAAAGGCUCUUUAUCACAAAUAGUCUUUAGAUUUAUGAAAUUGUCACGAAUCGUCCUUAAGGUUUUCUUUUUACAUUAAUAAUCCUUAACAUUAGGACCUUGUAUCACAAAUAGUCGCUACAGUUAAAUGUCAGACGUGGAAGAUAAGUAGAGCCCACAUGUCCAAUCACAUCGUGACAUUUGGAUUAAAUAAAUAAGUAUAUACAUUUUUUUUAAAUAUAAAUUCAUUAAAAAUUAAAAUAAAAUCCAUUUUUCUUCAACUUCUCACCCUUCCCUCGAUUCCGUACCUCUCCCCCUCUUUUCCCUCUCUCUCUCUCUCUCUCUCUCUCUCUCUCUCUCUCUCUCUCUCUCCACCCUAUGCCCUCUUUCUCUCCCCCAAUGUCCUCUCUUCUACCUCUAGCCUCCCUAUCUUUCCAUCUGCCCUCUCUCCCUCUGUUUUCUCUCCUCCUUUGCUCUCCUUCUCUCCUCCAUGUGCUCUCCCUCUCCCUUUGUAUUUUUUUUUCUUGCCUACAACCCGACGACCCCAUCCCCACCCUAUCCCUAUGUAUAUGUUGUAAAAUAAUCCCUUCCAUAAUGACAGUUCUACACAUUUUAUUUCACACAAACAUUUAUUCAAACAACAUUAAAAAAAAUAUAUUAAAAAAAGAGGGAAAGGGAGAGCAGAGUGAGAGAGUAAAGAAAAUACAAAGGGAGAACAUAGGAAGGAGAGAGAGAGAGAGAGAGGAGAGGGGCAUAGAGUAUAUAGAGAGGGCAGAGGGGAGAGAGACGAACUAGAAGGGAUGGGGAUGGGAAGUUGUAGAGAAAAAAGGAUUUUUAUUUAAAAUAUAUAUAUUUAUGUAUUUAAUCCACAUGUCACGAUGUGAUUGGACAUGUUGACACUACAAGAAAAAUAGCUUUUGACAACAUGCCACUAACAACGUGCGUCUAUUUCACGUUGUGGAAGUAUACUUUUGACAACAUGCACCAAGUGCACGUUGUAAUACGCUACUUAUAACAACGUUCCUUUAAUACGCGUUGUCAAAAUGAAAUUUAGAAAAAACUUCGCAACGCAAACAUGCGUGUUGUGAUAUCUUUAAGUUCUACAACGUGCAAACCAUGUUGUCAACUUAUUUCAUUUUUUUAAAGGAAAUAUACGCAAAAAUUAUGCGGGAGAACUCCCUCUCUCUCAAAAUAUUAAAACAUUCGAAAGUUUUUUAAAACCCCUCUUUUUUCUGAAUAAUAUUUCACAGCCCCUCUUUCUUUUGCAAAUCACUCUCACACUGCUAAACCUAGGGAAAAAUCCAAUAUCCCAACCUCUUUUGCUCCAUCCCAGCCAUCUCUCUCUCUCUCUCUCUCUCUCUCUCUCUCUCUCUCUCUCUCUCUCUCACUCAUGGAUCCUCUCUUUGCUCAUCAUCCACUGCCUCUGUCAUUGCCAACUUCACAGCCUCUCAAUCUCUUAUCGCCGUCAUCAAAUCCCUCAAUGCUUUGCUCUCUCAUCGCGAACCGCUACUUCUUUUGUCUUAGAUCUACAAUUCUUAAGGCCAAUCCUAAUAUUUGUUGUUCUUUGCAGGUAUUGGCCUUCAUCACCGAGCCCACCAGCAUCUCUCCACCACUAACUUUCUCAGCCUCAUUUAGGAAAAAAUUGAGUGGCCUCCAGGUACAAAAUUUUAGUGCGAAGGUUUGAUUUUUGUUGGAUUGUUCAUUUGGUUUUGGUAAUAUAAUAUUUGGGUUUAUAUUACUAUUUGGAUUGUUUGGUUUUGUUCACUUUUUUGGUUUUGUUCACUUAAUAUAUAUAUUUUUAUAAUAUACAUUAAAUAGUGUGUUUAAGGCUCUUCAUGUGCUUAUGAAUGCCUUUUUUCUAUGAUAUAUAUAUAUAUAUAAUUUAUAUUCCCUCAAAAUUUUCUGAGUGGAUAUGCCUUCAAGGAUUAAUUUUAACUUUCAUCAGAUUCCUUCAUAUUACAGGUUUUGAUACUGGUUUUGUGCUGAUUACAUGUGUUGAUUUUGGUAAGCUUUCAUCUUUCAAAAGCUGUCCCUUUAAUAGGGGUGAGUUUCGGAUUUUUCCUUCAACUUCUUUUGCAUUUUGUGUGUUAAUUUUGACAUAUAUUUUUGUUGGGUAUCUUGUCUUGGUUAUGAAUAAUUUCAGUUUAGGCCAGAAAACUUGAGUAAGGUUUUUCAGUGCAAACAGAUAUAAGAUCAUAAUAGUCUUCUUGUACAUACUUAUUUUCAAUUGUUUUAUGAAAAUUUCAUGUCUGGCUACAAAGCAAUUUGCAUUUUGUCUUCUAAUUUUUGCCAAUAUUGUAGCUAUGCAAUUUUGUCUUCUAACGAAAUAAUUUGCAUCAUGUAUGAUUGUGAUUAUUGUUUGGCUUAGGAAGAAGAAAAUAGAAGGAAAGGGCGCAUUAAGGGUCCUCCCGUUGGACAGAUAUUGAUGGCCUGUACGUCUCUGCAUUAAAGGGGGUGUAUUAUGAUAAUAUAAGUACUAUAAUUUUUUUCCCUGAUAUGUUGUAUAUUACUCUCUAAACUACCGUAUCUUUGAUUGAGCCUUGAGGGGAUUGAUUGUUAAAGAUCUUUGUUCUCUGUUCUGUUAUGUAUUUUCUCUAAUUUAACUUCCUCUCUUACUAUAGUUCAUCUCAAACUUAGAGAAAGAGAAGAACAUAGUUUAGUUGGUUGGAUUGAGUUAAUGGCUAAUCAUAGGUUUCUAGUUUUGCAAACUUUCUAUUCCUAAAUUUGCAAUUUCUUCACUAUUAAAAUUGUCUUGUUUGAUUUUUUUUUGUUCAGAACUUCUGUGCGACCUUAAGAUGGAUAGUAUGGGUGCUUCUUGGAAUGAUAGGUGCACAUUGGUUAGAUAAUAUUCCGCAAUUGGACAAAGGGUUUGAAACACAACUAAUCAGGUUUCUUGAUAAUGCUUUACAAGGAUUUUAAAUUGUAAUUAUACUAUGCAUAGUUCAAUUUCCCUUCAUAUGGAUAAAUGUAAGUUGACAAUGAAUCUUUCUAUGGAGUUAUUUUUUGAAUGAAAACUCUUUAUUAUGGGUUACAUUAUGAUUUUUAUUUUAUCAAAGGUUAUAUUAUGAUUGGGAAGGAAGAAAAUAGUCACACUUAACUAAAGCUUGAAUUUAUGGAUCAACUCUAUUGUUAUAAGGUGAUUAUGAAAAUAAUUUUUUUUAUUUAUAAAUAUUUAUUAUCACAACGUGCAAAGACUGUUGUUAAAAUUGAAACAACAACAUGUCUAUGAACGUUGUCAAUAAGACAUACAACAACAUGCCGAACACGUUGUUGUCCAUUGAUUCUACAAUGUGUGCACGUUGCCGUUAAUGGCAUGGACAACGAGCACUUAAAUCAACGACCACAUGCAAAGCGUGUUGUCGAAGGGCCUUGACCUUUUAACGACAUCGGCUUCCACAACAUGCGCCGUGUGUUGUCAAUACCCUUCAACAACGCCCAAUGAGCGCUGUGAAAGGACUCUUUUCUUGUAGUGUGACUCUACUUAUCUUCCACGUCACACUUAACAGACUUUCUAAAGGCAAAGAUCAUUCAUGAUAUAAAGCCAUAACAUUAAGGACUAUUAAUGUCACCAAAAAAAAAAAUUUUAAAAAGAAGGACAUUUGUGAUAAUUUCACAAACCUAAAGGAAGAUUCGUGACAAUUUCAUAAACCUAAAGGACAUUUGUGAUAAAAAGCCUAUAUCAAAUAUUAUAAAAUUUAAUAAAUCCUAAUAUAAAAAAUUUGGCAGGGUUGAGUUUACAGGUGCCCACCACCCCUUCCCAGCUACUCCUCCUCCCAUCACUCUGCAUCCCUCUCUCUCUCUCUCUCUCUCUCUCUCUCUCUGCCUAAGUAGCCACGAUUGCAGCGCGGGAGUAUUGGUGGAGCUGAGCGAGUAUUGAUGCGGACACAAGACAAAUAGGAGGGGGCAACGUUGGUGCCGGAGAGCUCAGCCGGUGCAAAGGCUAAGCCCGAUUAAGAUUUUGAAAGCUUUUAGUUUAGACUGAAUUGAUAGGACCCGACCCAAAUUCCACUUUGGAAUCUGAGCCAAAUGACCUAAUUGCCCUUCUUCUCAAAACUCAAAUCCAUUUUAGCUUUGACUCCUACCGAAAAUUCGGUAGAGUUUCCCCUGUAAUUCGAACAUUCCCAAAAUUUACACAUGUCAACAAGCAUUUAAAUAUAUAUACCAACUGCCAGAAUACUUAUAUAAAUACGUUCCAAUAGUUAAUUACGUCAUAGGGCAAUAUCAGAGCAGCUAUACAGAAUAAGUUACAAGUGUAAUUUAACUAUACAAAACCCUACAUCAGCAAGAUAUAUGGAGGGAGGUGGACUCUGCCCGAUGGUGGCUCACUGCACACAAAUUACUGCUUGGGGGCACAAAACAUUGAAAAUGUGAGUGGACCAAAAACAAAGUUUAGAAAAUAGCAUAUGAACAUACUAACCCCACUGUAAAAACAGUUAUAAAAACUUAAACAAGUUUUUCAGCUAUACUCGUACUGAAAUCAAUGCAUUCUUAUAUUUAUAUAUAUAUAUAUGCCAAUCAUACUCAUGGUCAAUAUUAAUCUCUUAAAAUCAUUGAAAUCAAUUUAAAACUACCACCUAAGUGUACCCCUUUAUUUCCAUCAAUUCCUGAUAUUUGUCUAUUCCUUAUAUGCCGUCAAUUCCAUCCUCGCAAGUCUCGGAAACAUAAAGAUUACUGGAUUGUAGGUUCCACCUUGCCACAUCACCAAGAUUACUGGAUAAUAAUCCAUAUGUAUAGAAUUACUAAAAUACCCCUGCCACGUCAGCAAUCUUAACAAAUUUUGGAUGGAGUUAACAGUAUAGGGUAAAGCGAAACAGGAAACCUUGGUCAAGGAGGUAAAGUGGGUAAAUUUAACUUUCAGGGGGUAAAGUGAGAUUUGACUAUAGUUUCAGCGGGCAUUAUAGUAAAUAAGCCUAUUUUAAAACCCAACUUCAAAAAAUUUACGGUUGUACCACUGCACUUCCGUUGACCACAACUUCUUCUGUUGACCACUACAUGUCUACGAACUCGUGAGAGCGAGCUCUAAGAAAUGGUGCCACUCAAAUCCCCAAAAUCCUUCCAGAUCGAAAAGUGGCUAAAGUGACCCUACCCCCAAGGGCAAAAUUGUAAAUCCACAAUUAAAUAAUCAAUUGAACAGUGUUUUUUGGGACGUGGUGUUAUAGGGAAACCAAAAGAAAAGAGGUGAUUGAUAUGCUAUUAAUAGGGAGUAUUAAUUACAAUUAUGGCAGUUAAUGAAAUGCUUGAAAUAAAUUAUAAAUAAAAUACUAAGUAUGGUGGCAAUGAUGUAAAAACAUAGGAAUACUACGACCUCUUAUAUCUUACUGGUCAUUUAAAUUUGAAAUCGGGUUUUACACAUAGAUUUAUAGAGUGAUGGGUAUAUGUUUAGGAAAUAGAAAAUGUAGGGAUUUAUAUUGGACAAGUCCUAUUUUUAUCGAGUUCAAGUGCUAAAUUGGCAAACGAAAUAAUUUAGGGAGGUAAGUUCGAAAUGCGUCAUAAUUCAAGGGGCAAAACGACACUUUACCCUUUUCUCAAAAGAAUUGAACUUUUAGCAAUGAAUUAUGCAAUUAAAUACCCAAAUGACUUUUUUUUCCCUUUUUUUAAAAGAUAAAAAUGAUAGAUAAAGGUCGUCAGCCAUAAGAGCCAGUAUAAAUACAAAUAACCACUUAAACAUAUUACAAAUAUGGUUAUAGAAGUGGGAAUGUCAAAAACAUGAAAAGAGGUAGAGAGAGAAAACACAUGGCUUGAUGAUAAAAAUAUAAUAUGAGGAGAUGGAAUGGAAAUAAAAGAAAAUUCAUAUGAAGGGAAUAAAUGGAAUAAAAUAAGAAGCAUGGGAAAAAGUAAAGGGAAAUAAUAAAGAGAAAAUGGAUAGGAAAUUGGGAACAUGUAAAGAAGUAGAAAGAGAUGAUUGGCAGAGGAUUAAGAGAGGGUGCGGCAUGUGGCAUAGAUAGCACUAGGAAACCAACAUAGAGAAAAGAAAAGGAGAGCAAAAGAAAUAGGUAAACAUUCAUUUUAGGUCCUUGUGGUUUAACACUUUUACCAUUGAGGUCCCUGUGGUUUCAAUUUCGUCACUUUUAUCCUUAUGGUUUCAAUUUGAAGCAAUUUCAGGACAAUUCCCAAUUUCUGAUACUUAUUGAGGGGCAUUGUAGUCCAAACUUGCAGCCCCGCCUCAACCACCUCCACAGCCACCUAGCAACCCCUCCAUAAACUUCUCUUUGUUGUAAACCAGCAACAAACAAUGCUCCAUUUGAAUUUUUGUUGAUAAAAAGGGUAAAUUACUCAAAUGGUCAUCAAGCUUAUACAUGAUUUAUAUUUUGGUCCCUUAACUAAAUUAUUCGUUCAAAUGGUCCAUCAACUCUAUAUUAUUCGCUCCAGUGGUCCUACUGUCUAAUUUUCUGUUAGAUUUAACCUAAUUUAAGGGUAAAUAAUGACCAAUUUGCCCUCAUAUUUAACGGAAAUAUUAACAUAAUAGAUUUAACCUAAUUUUAGGGUAAAUAAUGAUCAAUUUGCCCUCAUAUUUAACGGAAAUAUUAACAGAAUAGAUUUAACCUAAUUUUAGGGUAAAUAAUGACCAAUUUGCCCUUAUAUUUAACGGAAAUAUUAACAGAAUGUAACAAUAUGACCAAUGGAGUGAAUAAUACAGAGUUGAUGAACCAUUUGAACGAAUAAUUUAAUUGAGGGACCAAAAUAUAAAUCGAGUAUAAGUUUGAGGAUCAUUUGAGUAAUUUACCCUUGAUAAAAAUUAUGGCCAUCUAUACAUAAACAUCAACUAACAAAAUCAUAAUCGAGUGGGUCUUAGGAUUAUACAAGGGAGACACAUUUCUUUAUUUUUUUUUUUUGAACCCAAAGAAAAACUCACAAUUAUAAUCAUAAUCCAUCUCAUUUCUUCAUAAGGGAUGAAGGUAAUCUCCAGCCAAAAAAGAAAAACAAGGUAGUCAGAGCAAGUCUACUUCGAUCUUUUGUAAGCUUCAUAAAAGUAGCCUAGGAUUACAACAACGUCAUCAAUUGCAGCUCUUAUUGCACCUUGUGCCAGUAUCACAACCUUUGAUAGUUUCUUAUUAUGUAAUUCAACAUAAUCUCUAAAAACAUUGUUGAUGAAGGUUGUAUAAAUGGUACAUCUCUUUGUACAUCUCCAAGGAGCAUUGUUUGUUGCUGAUUUAGACAGUGGGAUUGUCAAUGUUUACAACAGGGAGGAGUUUUUGGAGGGGCUAGUGGCUGUGGAGGUGGUUGGGGAGGGGCUGCAAGUUUGGACCGAAAUACCCCUCAAUAAGUAUUAGAAAUUGAGAAUUGUCCUUAAAUUGCUUCAAAUUGAAACCACAUGGACAAAAGUGACGAAAUUGAAACCAUAGGGACCUUUGUGGUAAAAGUGGUAAACUACAGGGACCAAAAAUAACUUUUUGCCAAAGAAAUAAUGGGGAAAAGAAAACCAUGUGGGAAACAGAGAAGAAAGGGGCAAUAUGGGCAAGAUAGAAUUUCAAAGUACCAUAGAAACAAAUAAAAUAAGGGAUGAGAAUCAACACAAACAAUUACUAAAAAAAUAAAGAUGGGGAAUAGAGACAGUGGCGGGAGCAAGCUGCAGAGACAAGUGCAAAUAUAAAAUUUUUUAUUUGAGGUCAAAAUAAUAAUAGAAAAAUGAGAGAGAAGGAAGACUCGGAUCACGUGGGAAAACAGAGAGGGGGAGGAACGAAAAGUGAAAAGAAGUUUUUUUUUUUUUUAAAAAAAAAAAAAAAAGAGAUGUGGGCUUCUAAUAAAAACAAAAUAAAGGAAGGGAAGCAUUAAGGUGAGGAGCACGAGUGUUUGGGCAGGAGAGAGAGAUGAAACUUAAGGGAAUGAUGGGGAAGCAUGUGUGUAGAGAAGAGAUAGAUAUUGGAAAAAUGGGGGGCUCAUGACACUAAAGAGAAAGAGAGGGAGUCUUGAUAUAAGCAGAGAGAAGAGGGAGAGUUCAAGAGGGAGUUUUGACAGAGAGAAAAAAGAAGAAAUGAGAUCCUGGAGAGAGAGAGAGAGAGAGAGAGAGAGAGAGAGAGAGGAUAGAGCACAUGAGGGAUAGACAAUGGUUGUGCAAAGGGACUAACGACAGAGAGAGGAUAGAGGUACAUGAGGGAUAGACAAUGGUUGUGCAAAGGGACUAACGACAGUGAAGCACUGCAGGACAGAGAUAAAGGCGUCUCGGAUAAGGCUUAGCAAGCGAUGACGAGGCUCGUAGAGGAAAGAGAGAUCGGGCCAUCAUGGCCAAGAGAGAUAAAUAGAGUUGUCGUGGGUUGCCAUGGGAGAGCUCGAUCGAGGAGGGCUCAGUGAGCGGUGACAAGGGUCAUGGGCAUGGUUGCCAAAGGACGUGGAUGAGCAGCCGCGGCUUGCCACGGGAGUGCUAUAUGGAGGAGAUGUAUUGGUGAAUGAUGAAGUCCGCGCGGCAGUCACAAGCUCAGGAAAUAGGAGAGUAAAGAAGUCUGACAGCAACAAAGAGCAUGACAAGGGGGAGAAGGCUCAGUCUUCAAUAAAGAGCAUAAGAAGGAGAAAUGGCUCAAUCUUCAACAGAGAGCAUUACAUGGAGAAAGAAAUGCAUGGCUCAGUCUUUAACAAAGAGCUAGACACGGAGAGAGUGAAAGAUAAAGGCUCGUCAAUGAGCAGAGAGCUUGACAGGGAGCGUAGAAAAAUAAAAGGAAAUGGCAGCGGCAGAGAGAGAAAAAAAAAAUUACUGAUUAUAGAAGGGCGGAGAAGAUGGAGAACUAUACAGAAGCAAACACCUUUUCGGGCGAGGAGAGCCAACGACUCUCAAUGUUGGCCGAUGAAGGAUCGCUAAUUGGCGUUAGCCAUUAGCUCUGAUACCAUGAAAGAUUUGAUGAUUCAAUGAUAUUUUGCUUGAUUGAUUCAUCUCCAUAUAGGAGGUAUUUAUACAAGAUUGAUAAAAAUAAACUAAGAGAGAAUACAAAGUGGUACAUGGUGGAUGCAACUAAUACAAACAUAAAACUAAGACAGUGGUGGAUAAUGAGUUGGUGGAUUGGUGGAUAACAUGUUCUCUAAUAUAUAUAUAUAUACUACAUUGGAAAUUUGACUAUAUUCUUCGUACGGUGUACGUCGGUUCGAAACCAAACAAUUUAGUUCAUUCACAACCGCAUUCGAUCUAACAAAAAUUGGAUUGUGAUUUUUUCAAUCCGAUCCAAUCAUAUUAAAAUUUUAAAUUCAAUUCAAUCAGAUUCAAUUGAUAUUGAAUUGGAUUGGAUUGGAUGAUCGGUUUUGAUAAUGAAAAAAGACAAUAAUUAAAUAUUAAACAUUUAUCCUUAAGUUUAAUCUAAUCAAACAUAUUAAUAGACGUAAAUGUAAAAUAUAAAUGAAAUACUUAAAAAAAAAUUAUUUUGAAUAUAUAAUAUAUUAAACAUAACUUCAUCAAAUGACUUAAAAUAUUCAUAACCUUUUCAACUACAAAUACCUACAAGAACAAAAUAAGCAUAAAACUAACCAUAUUGGAUUGAAUUUGAUUGGAUUCUAUAAGUAAAUUCGUCAUCCGAUCCAAUCAUUAAGGAAUAGAGUCGCGAGGGUUUUGCUUUGUGUUAAAAUACCUUUAUGCCCACUCACGUGCGAUGCACAUGUCUAUUUGACAGAUUGUCCUACAUAUUGGCUAACACAUGUAAAUAUAGGGACUAAAUUAGCCAAAUUUAAAACAUAGAAACUAAAAUGACUUAAUGGGUAAAACACAUGGACUAUUUUGACUUUUAAGCCUUUAAUAAAUUCAAUAAUAGUCACAUUUUAGGGCAAGAAGAAAUCAAACCCCAACAAUUAAUAGCUGAAAAUACAUAAAAAUACUUAAACAAGUUUCUGAACUUUCUCUGCAUCCUUAUGAUCAUAGAGCCUAUCAUGCACGCACUUUUCUCAUCGCACAGAGCCUAUCUUGUACAUUGUUUAGGAAUUGGAAAUAUGCAUCUCUCCACGUCUUUUUUAGCAUUAAAGGACCACAAAAUCCACCAAGUCCUAUGAUGAAGCCAAGCACAACCGAAGUAUGAACCCACAAAAGUUGGGGCUCAUUCUCCAUAUCUUGGCUAUUACGGUGCAUUAGAGGACACGCAUUCCGAAGAGGGGCACCACACAAAGUUUCGGAUUCCCCUCAAAUGCAGAGACAUCAAAGCUUUGGAGCUGAGUGCCUUUUGGUAUUGGCCCUUCAAGAUUAUUGUACGAGACAUUCAAAAAGGACAAGAAAUUAAGGCUCGUCAAUGAUGGUGGAAUUUCUCCAGACAAGUGGUUCAUUGAAAGAUCUAAUGUCUCCAACUUUUUCAGGUUGGAUAUUUUGUUGGGAAUGUUUCCAGAGAAAUUGUUGUCGUCAAGAUUUAAUGUAUGAAGAAGGACCAAUUGGCUGAUCUCAGUUGGUAUAUUCCCAUUGAUGCUAUUUUUGUGUAGAUGUAUAGCUGGUGGAAAGAAAGAAAGGGAACUGUACUGCAAAAAGUCUGCAUCACUUGCUGGUUUGACGAAGAAAGGCAAUUGGAGAUAAGUAUGAUCUACUUGAGCUGCAGUUUGUUCAGACACCAACAUUGGUAAUUUGCAAAGUUGCUUUGGAAGCUCACCUGAAAUUCGGUUGUUGCCCAAGUUUAUGUGAAAGAGGCUUGGAAAAUUCCCCAACCAUGUUGGAACUGAGCCUGUGAAUCUAUUAGAGGACAAAUCCAAGACCUCUAGCUUUUUUAUUUUGGAUAACCAUACAGGUAAGGGACCAGUGAGCUGACAACCACGGAAAGACAAAAUACGAAGAUUUUCUAAUCCAUCAACACCAACGAUGCCAUCACCAUUUGGCAUUUCUUCACCUAUAAAAUUGUUUGAAAGGAUGAGAACCUUCAGACUUUUGCAGCCCAUCAGUAUAUUAAGUACCCUUGUGAUAUUGGACAAUCUGCUCGCAGAAAGCGAGAGGAAGGACAAAGAUUUCAGUGAGAAUCUCAGGCUAUAUUUGUCCGUCUAAGUCAUUUAAGCUCAGUCGAAUUGCUCUAGUUGGGAAGACACCAGUGAAUUGAUUACUCACAAAGUCAAGUUUAGUAAGGCGACUAAGUUUGGAGAAAUCAAGCAUGGAGAGCUUUCCUACAAAAUGGUUGAAUCCAAGGUUCAAUUCUCUAAGGUUUGUGCAAUUCAGCAAAGACGGGGGCAGAGAAUCUGUUAGAUUGUUGAAAUGAAGAAGAAUGAGUUUCAAUUUGGAGAGCUUGCCCAUAUUCGUCGGGAGCAUGCCACUGAAUUGAUUAACAUAUAGUUCAAGGAUUGUGAGGUUGGUGAGGUUGACAAUUUCAUCACUAAUGUCACCACGAAACGCAUUGCUAGGUAACGAAAUUUCUUCAAGUGUGGUAGCAUUAUAGAUAUCUUCUGGAAGUAUUCCAGAGAGCCUAUUGUAACCAGCACGAAAAACCUGUAGUUUCGAACACUUCCCUAGUCCACCAGAAAUAUUGCUGCUGAAUUUAUUGAUGGAAAAAUCCAACAGCCUAAUCAGGGGAGAAGAAUGAAGACAUAGAUAGGAUGGGAUAGAACCCGAGAAGGUGUUGUUCCUGACAUCGAAACUAGUCAAAUUCCUAGCUCGUCGAAAGAAUGACUAUGGAAUCGUACCAUGGAAGUAAUUGUUGGACAAGUCCACCAUGCGAGUGCUGGAUGGAAUGAAAAGUGGUAGCUCUCCAAACAUACGGUUAUAGCUCAAAUCAAGGAUCUCAAGACUUUAAGGACAAGAAGAAACGGGGUUCAAGUGAACCGUAGAGUGAAUUGUGAGAGAGGUUCAAAAGAGAGAGAUGCGUGAGAUUUUCAAGUGAGUGAAAAAUGUUGGAAUUUUAAAAGGUUUUAAAAAUUUAACCAUUUUAUUUAUUUAAUUAUUUUGGCUGUUUUAUUUUAUUUAUUAUUGGGGUUAUAAAUAUUUAAUAUUCAAGUUUUAUUUCAGGUUGGUGAAUGCCUUAAUUUUUUAGUUGGUGAACUUUCACUACUACAAAAAGUGAAAAAGACGACCAGAAAACAACGACGGUCUAAGUGAAAACCGUCGUGGUUUAUAAAAAGACGACGGUUCUAAAAACACCGUCGUGUAAUACAACCUUAGACAACUAAAAAAUGGAGUUUCAAAUGGCUGUUCAAAAACAACGACGUACAUAAUUAAACAACCGACGUCUAUUUGAAACAGAUUUUCGCAGUGUAAAAUCAAUGCCAACAAAGAACGGCAGAAGUUAUGAAUCGACCGACGUAGAAAGUAAAGACGACGAUUUCAAUAAAAACUGCCGUUUUUACUCAUAAAAUAACACGACGAGGUUUUCGUAUAAGACGCCGUAUAAUUACAAACAAAUCCACGGCUUUAAAAUACAAAAUAUCGCCGUAUUAAAUUAAUUUACAACGACGGAAAAUAUAAAUAUAACGACGUCAUUCUCGUAUAGUUCUACGACGUUAUCUUUAAAUCAUACAAUAAAAUUUAUCGUCGUAUUUAUUCAUUUUAUACGUCAUACCUUUAAUUUUAACGGUCGUCUUAAUAAGAAUUUUUGUUAACAAUUUAUUUCUUUGAUUUUCUUAUCCUACGUCGGUAGAUCUACUUAAUGACAAGAAUUGAAAUAACCACGACGGUUUAUAUAGAACACCGCCGACAUAAUCAGAUUUGUCUGAGAUCCCAAGGGUUACGAAAUCUUACCAGAUGGAACUCUGUUCCACAUCAUAAUCUUAACAGAUGACACAGAUUUACAAAUAUUGCGUCGUGUUAGUUUACAAAUUCUAGAACAUUAAUUUCCCUCAUUUUAAAUUUCCUCGGGAAAGAAAAAUCUAUUUAUCACGCUUUGGAAUUGAAAACUAAAACUGAAAGAAUACGGGAAAAAAAACUCUAUUUAUAAUUUAAAAUUAAAAUCCACGUCGGUUGUAGUACACUUAACGACGUUUAACAAAAUAAUCUACGUCGGUAAUUAUAAAUCUACCGCCAUCUUAACUUAAUAUAGACGACGAUAAAAGACGACGGUAGAACAGAAAACCGCCGUUGUUUCAGUUUCUUUAACAUAUCUUUCUGCAGGACUUGUGUAGUUCAAAGCAUUGACAAUGUCUUCAUCAUAUCUCCCAGAAACUACUGAUUCAAUUGCUCAUGCUUUAGAGGCCAUCUGAAGCCAUUUCUAUUCUUUAUCGCAUUCUUGAAACCCAUCUUCUUCUUCUGAAGCUCUACGGAUAAAGGAAGAGGCUAUCACAAAUCCGACGGAUCUUCUUAGGCAAGAAAAUCAAGCAGAGGAUCAGGCACAUCUGAUCUUCAGAUUUCUCUGAGAAGCGAACUUUCCUUCGACAGCGAGUGGAGGCCAGGCUUGCAUCUCUUUUGAUGGAAAGCAAGGAGUAUUCAGAAGCACUAAGUGUCCUAUCAGGCUUGAUCAAGGAAGUGAGAAGGCUAGUUGACAAGCUUCUUCUUGUGGACAUAUAUUUGAUACGAGUAAGAGAGGAAGAACUUGGAACCUUAAAUGUAAACCGAAAAUGAAUGAAAGCGACAAAUUUAUAGAAUAAAUUUUUAAAACCAACGGCGGUCCUUACAAAAAAAACGCCGUUUAAAUUGUAAAAUCAACGUCGGUAUGAUAGACGUAUAUUACAGGAAUCCACGUCGGUAAAUUAAUAAAAACGACGUGUUAAAUAAUCUACCAUGACGCGAGUUAUUACUUAUGUACUUUAAUUUUUGAGUUUACUACGACGGUACCUACAAACUACUGUCGUAUUUAUUUACCACGUCCGAAGUUAAAUGUACCGUCGUAUUUUGUAAUUUAUACGUCGUAGUUAUAUGUAACCGCCGUAUUAUUUUUUUGAAAUGGUUUUAUAUGUAAGCAACUUUUCGUCUACUUGACUUACACAUUAGUUGUUUUUAUAUUCUUAUUUUAUUUAAAUCUGUCAUCCAAAAAAGAAACUUUACAUAUUGCAGAAUAUUAAUUUCCUUCGUUUUAAAUUUCCUCCGGAAAAAAAACUCUAUUUAUAACGCACUGUAAUUGAAAAAUAAACUGAAAGGUCACGGGAAAAAAAAUUCUAUUCAUAAUUUAAAAAUUAAAAUCCACGUCGGUUAUAUUAAACCUAACGACGUUAAAUGAAAUGAUUCCACGUCGAACGAAAAAUAUUGCGUUGUGUUAGUUAAAAACGACGUAGUUAAAUGUAACCGCCGUAUUAUUUUUUUGAAAUGGUUUUAUAUGUAAGCAACUUUUCGACUUACACAUGCACUGUUUCCAAACCCGAUUAAAAAUUUCAAUCUCCCAGAGAAACCUUUUCGUCUUUUUUCCUUGUCAGAGCAUUGUCAGAGUUUCUCAUCGUCUUCCUCUCGUCUUCUUCGUCGUCUCUGAACUUAAACAUCGAUCAUCUUCCUCUUGCUUUCAUUGCACGCAAAAGGUAAGCUUUCAUUUUCACUAUUUUGGUUACUGUUUUGCAUGCUCAUACGUUUUUUGUUUGAAAAAUCUUUUGACCUUUUUUCUGGCCAAAAUCAUUUUACUUCUUUCCAAGUUUGAUAAAAUAUACAGACAAAGAGGGAAAGUUUCCAACUUUGAAGACAACUACAUCAACUAAAUAAGACGACGGUAGACCACGACGGUUCGUCAGUUGUUCUAGCGUCGUCUGAAAAUUGACAAAGUUGUUUUUAAAAUAAUAGUCUUUUUUUAUAUGCUUGUUUAAUUGCAGGUUUGAUUUCUCUGAACAAUGGUUUUUGUUUUUCCCUUAUUUGAUAAAAUAUAAAGAAAAAGAAACUAGGGUUGGUAUCUAAUAUAGACGACAAAAUAUCUUAUUGUUUUACGUCGUGUGAAUGUUAAUACCACGACGGUGUAUUACUAUUGACGUCGUAUGAACAUAAAUACCACGACGUUAUAUAAAUAAUAGUUUACCACGACGGUGUAUUACUAUUGACGUCAUGUGAACAUAUAUACCACGACGUUAUAUAAAUAAUGGUUUUAAACAUUUAUUACGUCUGAGAUUAUUUCAUUGCGUCGUCUAAAAUCAUAUCAUACGUCGUAUUUUUUUAAUACCGUCGUUUGUGUUCUUAAUGUUUUCCUGAAAUAUUUUCACUUGCAGUUUUGUCUGUUAAAAUGGUUUCUCAACAACAAACUAAGGAUUCUGGCUCCAAGAAGCUUGGAAUAGUAGCUCCUCAAGACAAGUCUUCGAAGGAGAUGAAGUCUUCGAAGAAGAUGAAGUUUGCUUCAUCAUCUGCUGAGACAGAACAAACCAGCCAGACAACAAUCUCUGAUGAUUCAAAGACUGGUCGAGGUAUGAGCACAAUGCCUCGUGUUGUGAAGAGAAAGCUUCAGAAACUGAGGCCAAUUGUUGAGUACAAUAAAAGGGGGAAAGGUGUUGGCCAAGCACAUAUUGAGAUGCAGUCGUAUAUUGGUGUGUUGGCACGCUCCAGGAUCCCACUUGUGGACAAGAAAUGGUCCCAAAUCCCCAAGGAUAUAAAGGAGCAGAUUUGGGAAGCAGUUGACAUGGCUUUUGUCGUAGGCCAAGGGGGCAAGACCUCUGUUUUAGCUUCUGCUUCCAAGAAAUGGAAGGAUUUCAAGUCUACACUAACGAGGCAUUAUAUCCUUCCAUACACCAAUGACAGGGAGAAAUUAAGCCAACCCCCUGAAACAUAUAAAUUCAUAGAGAAAGCACAAUGGGAUGCCUUUGUAGCUUCAAGGCUAUCCAAAGAUUUUGAGUCUGUGCAUUCUCAACAUGCACAGAUUAGGGAGAAACUCGAGUACAAUCAUCGAUUGUCUCGAAAAGGAUAUGCUGGAUUGGAGGAUCAAUUGGAGGAAACCAUGCCUGGGGUAGAAAUUGAUCGAUCUACCUUAUGGAAGAGAGCUAGACAGGACAAACAUGGUAACAUCCCUGAUCCAAAGGUGGCAGAGAAAGCAAAAUUAAUUGUAAGCCUACUCACUCUGUUUUAAAUUUUUAUUAAACUGUGAAUUAUUCUUAUUACGUCGUAUGUUAUAUUUUUCGUCGUGUGAAUGAUAUUACCACGUCGAGAAGUUUUUAAAAACGUCGUUAACGGUCUAAAUAGGAAUCACUACUCUGUUUUCUUUAAUUAUAGCAUAAGACGUCGGUUGUUUAUUCAUUUCGUCGUUUUAAAUAAAUAACCACGUCGGUAUAACUACCGUCGUGAUAAGUUAUAAUAACGUCGGUUUAUACGUUAUUGCGUCGUGUGAAAUUAUAUAAUACGUCGUUUGUACAUAAAUAACCGUCGUGUGUUUUUUUGUUUAUCUUUUUUUAGGAUGAAUUGCAGAAACAAGUCUCGGAAGGCAAAGUCAGAGUAGAUGGCAGCAAUGAUGUGCUGACCAUGGCUUUGGGCCCCGAGCAUCCAGGCAGACUGAGGGGAGUUGGUGCUGGUGUUUCCCCAAGGCAAUAUUUCAAUUUGCCCAAACCACAGAGGUUGAGCUUUGACGACCGUUUGAAGGACAGUUUAAGAGUUCUCCUUCAAGAAGAGACUAAAAAGAUGGAGGCUAAGGCAAGGGAAGAGGCCUUAAGGAUGGAGGCUAGGACAAAACAAUUGGUAGAGGCUGAGAAGGAGCAUUUCCUGAGUCAACUUUCCCAAUUAAUUCCCAAUUUUGAUCCAAGCAUGCUUAAACCAAGAAUUAGCCAAAGCCCCAAAAAUCCAAUGUCUGACAAAGCUAGCUGCUCUGGAGGUGAUGUGAGAUCCCUACAUUUGGAGGAUGAUACUGCCAAAAUGGGGAAACAUCAGCCAGAUGAAGAGAAGGAAGAAGAAAAAAGAGAUGAAGAGAAGGAAGAAGAAAAGGAGAAAGAAGAUGAAGAAAAGCAUGACGACAAGGUAUGUACACAUAACUUUGCCUUUCUUAUUUGUUUUUCAAAAUUUCAGACGUCGAUAUUUUUAUAUAAUCCGUCGUUUGUUUAAAACUUAGACGGCGGACUUUUUUUAAGACGUAAUAAAAUAUUUAAACGACGGUUUUUGCACCGUCGUUUAAAUGGUUUCAGACGACGCUUUAUUAAUAACACCGUCGUCUUUAUUGAAUUACCACGACCGUUUUUUCACCGUCAUUUAAAUCCUUUUAAGACGACGUUUUAUUCCUUAAACCGUCGUCUUUAUUGAAUUACCACAUCAUUUUUUUUAUUUCUUUAAACAGGUUAUUGAAGUUGGUGCUUAUUCAAAUAUGGAGGCGCCAUCUUCUUUAAAAACCCUUUGUCGUUUUGUGGAAACGACACUCCUGCCUGAGGAUAAGACACUCCAAUUUACAAUUGAUAAGGAGGUGUUUGGUGGUGAGCGCGAUACCUUCCUCCUGCCUGAAGAUAUUACAUAAUUUGCAGGCAUGGAAGAAAUUGGAGCUACUGUAUUGGCUGUAUAUAUGAGGUUUGUACUUCUAAGAUAAUAACUCGUUGGUUUAUAUAUUGCGUCGUCUUAACUAACUAACCACGUCGUCUUAACUAACUACCGUCGUGAUAAAUAUAUUAUAACGUCCUUAUCUAUUUCAGUACGUCGUGUGAAAUAUUAUAAUACGUCGUUUUUUUAUACAUAACCGUCGUGUUUGUUUUUGCUGACUUGUUUAUAUUAUUUUAUGUAUUUAGGUACUUACACGAUGUUUUGAAACAAGCCAAUAUGUGCAGCAUGGUUGGCUUUAUUGACCCUGCUACAGUUAGUGCCAACUCUGGCACAAUAACUGAAAGAUCACGACUGGUAGCCGCUCGACUUCAGAAGACAGACGGUGAACAGCUUUUCAUGAUGCCUUACAAUCCAGGGUUAGUCUCCUUAGGAUUGUGUUUUUAUGAUUUUCAAUAAAUGACAGAUUAUAAACUAACCACGUCGGUGUUUUAUUUUAUUUAGUCGUUUGAAACUACUAACCACGUCGGUAUUUAUUUGUCGUCGUGAUAAAUGUAUAAUGUCGUCGUUAUCUACUUUAUUUCGUCGUGUGAAAUACUAUAAUACGUCGUUUUUGUAAAUAACCGUCGUUUUUAUAUUAAUUUUGUGCAGCCGUCAUUGGAUCUUGCUGAUUGUAAGAGCAAAGAAGGAGACCGUCUAUUUUCUGGAUCCUCUGCCAGGUCAUCGUGUGGUCGACGAAGAGGCGAAAAACAUCGUGAACAGUGCUUUAAAAAUAUAUAAUACCCACAUAGGCCGAGCAGGACGUAAAAAUGUAAUUUGGAAAACUCUCUCAGGCACACCAAAGCAACCCAGCAAUGUCGAAUGCGGGUAUUAUGUGAUGCGCUUCAUGAGGGACAUCAUCAUGGAUCCUUCCUUGGGGUUUGAGAAUAAGGUAAGAAGAAAUUACCUUCAUACAUUUCACGUCGUUUUUUGUAUUAUCAACGACGGUCAUGUAAAAUUAACGUCGUUGAAUGGAUAUACUACGUCGGUUAUGAAAAAUAUCGUCGUCUGUGAUUGAAUUUCUUUUUAUUUAUAAACCCUAAUAGUCAUUGUUUAUGCAGUAUGCCAAGGGAAACCAGGAAGCUUCAUACCCCCAAGAAGCCAUUGAUGAAGUCCGGAAUGAAUGGGCAGAGUUUGUUUUCCAAAUUAUUAAACAGGGCAAUUAUUGAACACUUGAUAUUUAUGUAUAAUGUACAAAUUUUCUCUAUAAUAUGUAAUGUAAAAAUUUGUUGAGGUUUUCUUAAAUUAAAAAAAAAACAAACAUACAAAUUGCUAAACCGACGUGUAAUACUUUUCCAACGACCUAAUAAAGUCAAAAACCGUCGUAUUUUGUUGUUUCGUGUUUUAAACAAAUACGACGUAAAAAUAUAGUUAGACGACGUUCUUUGAACAAUUGAGUCGUUUAUGGUUUACAACAUCUUCAAUUUCUUAAAGGUUCAGGGUAUCAUCGACGACGUUUAUGUAACGACAGCGGUUAAGUCGUUGAUAUAUAUAUUUUACGUCGUAUAGGUAAAUAGCCGCCAUGGUUUCUCAUUUUAACGACGUCAUUUUAACGACUUAGUAGUCUAUUACAAUUUACAACGUCUACAAUUUAUUAACACCGACGUGGUUUGUUGUUGUGGUAAGAAUAUUUUAUUAUUUUUAUAUCAAAAUAUUCAAAAUAAAUUUAAAAUAAAUCAGAAAAUUGAAAAGUCAACUCCUAUGAAGUCAUUGAUAUAUUUUCUUCCACAUAAACCUUGAAAAAAUUCAUUUUGAAUAACAAAAAUUUAAAAUGACCAUCCAAAACAAAAUUGUUUUGAUGAGUCAUAAAAUCACUUCUAGUUUUAUGGUUUAGGGUUUAGAGUCUAGGGUUUAGAGAUUAGGGUUGUUAUUUAUUGGGGUUUAUUUUUAAAGUAUAAUUUUUGGGUAGUCUAGGGUAUAUGUUAGGCUUUAAAACCAUAAAACCUUUUAUAAACUUAAUUUUUUAAAUUGUAUAAUUUAGUUUUAUGGGUUUAGGGUAUUAAUUUUUAACGACGGUGGUUGCGUCGUGGAAUACAUAUUUUACGUCGUACAGAAAAACAUACGACAUGGUUUACUCUUUAAACGACGUCAUUUUAAUAUGUAAGUCGGUUUAUAUAAUUUACAACGUCUUUAAUUUCUUAACACCGACGUGGUUUUUCAGUCGUCGUUAUAUAAAAAAUUCAAAAUAAAUUUAAAAUUAAUCCGAAAAAUGAAGCUUCAAAAUGAACGGCCUUACGUUCUUAAUCCGAAAAAUGAAGUUUCCGUCGUGGAAUAUUAAAUUUACGUCGGUACGUGUAGAACUUUCGCCUUGGUUUUUCUUUCGACGUUUUAAAACGCGCGAACUCUAAAAAUUUUCGCGCGACCUAAAUUUUUUUAGAUUUGGCUCUUAUUCUUAUACUUCGAACCCUGAAACCUAAAAUUUUCAGAUUUCGCGCGACAUAACANNNNNNNNNNNNNNNNNNNNNNNNNNNNNNNNNNNNNNNNNNNNNNNNNNNNNNNNNNNNNNNNNNNNNNNNNNNNNNNNNNNNNNNNNNNNNNNNNNNNNNNAAAUUCAUUGAAUGAUAUUAGGUUGUUUUGUUAAAGGGGUUUUAGGUAUAUUGCUUUGCGAUCUGUUACUAAUGUGCUAUAGGUAUGGGUUCAUGGAUUUCCGCUAUGGAGAAAAUGAUGGGGAGCAAAUAGUACCUACGAAGGAAGAAACUGAUAAUGAAGAUGGGGAUUCGAGUGAUGAUUCUAGUAACGAUUCGAGUUAUAUUAGGUUGUUUUGUUAAAGGAUUUUAUGUGUAGAAGGUGCAAAGUGCACCAAUGCUUAUAGGUAUGGGUUCAUGGAUUUUCUGUUUAAUGGGUUCAUGGAUUACAUUAUCUGUUAUGUUGAAUUGGGAAUGGAUUUAAUUUUGUCGUAUCUUUUAAUCACCCUAUGUUAUGUUGAAUUGGGAAUGGAUUUAUUGUUUUCAUGCUUGGUUUCAUGUAUAUGUUGGUUUCUUGCUUGGUUUCAUAUAUAUGUUGUGUUCUUAAUGGGUUUUGUGUUCUUGAAAAUAAACUGAGACACGACGAAUUUUAAGGCAUACGACGACGAUUACACGACGGUGUUUUUAAACUACCGUCGUUGUAUUACUUAUACACGACUGUUUUUUCAUAAACCGUCGUUUGUAUUACUUAUAAUAGACGACGUCUGUUGAAAAUCCGUCGUCUAUAUAUGCCAAAUACGUCUGUUUUUGUUUAAAACCCGUCGUCUCUGUUGUGUAUUACUUGCGAUUAGAUCAUUGUAUAAUCUGCUAUAGUGAUGGUCAUUGCCUGUAUUUUCACUUUAUUAUAGAUAAUAGGUUAUAGUGUCGGAGAUGGAUAAGUCAUGGAUGCACUCGGAUAGAAGAUCGAAGGCAUAUGAAUUUGGGGUGGAAGCAUUUUUGAACUUUGCUGUAGAAAAUCUUCUAACUACAACACAUAUCCGUUGUCCAUGUGUUAAAUGUGUUAAUUUGAAGUUGUUUGGGGUUGGAAUUAUAAGGGAUCACUUAUACUUUAAUUAGAAAAUUUUAUGGUUGGUGAAGGUUAUAUGUUUUUGGAUGCCUAUAAAAGGCCACUCCUCCUUUACACAAAAACACACAAUAACACACAAUAAUACACAAUACACUAUCAGAAUAUCACAUACACAUUCUAAUUUUCUCCCUUUCUAGUUUUACAUAUAUUCUCUACUUUAUUAUUAUUAUUUUGGGCAAUGGUUAUGUGACUUGGAUACCUAUAUCUGUCUGUGAACGUGCUCAUAGCGGAUCUUGAGUUUGUGUACAAGGGGUCGUAUCUUGGAGUCUUGUAGACCGUCAGUACCUGCACGUAGGGAGGCUACAAAGGCUUUAGGACAGCGUCUUUGACGUGCUUCACCGUACCAAACUCACCUUCUUACUUAUUAUUUAUUUUCCUUUUACUUACCUAUUAUUUUGUUUUCUUCAAUUUUAUUAUACCUUCAAAGUUUUCUAAUUUAUUUAUAUGUUAUUUAUAAUAUAAAUAUUCUGUUACCCAACCGUCGUGAUCACAGGUGACGCCCUCCCAAUGGCAACAAUCAACGGAAGUCCAGUUCAAAGAAGGAGAUGAUAGUGUGAGAGCAAAGGACAAGAGAGAGCUACGUUGAGUUUCAUUGCAUGCGUAAUUUGUGGACAUAAUGGAGGACAAUAAGAGGAAGAAAAGGAGGCCACGAGCCAUUUGGUGGUAAGGGAUAUUCUCUACUUGCAUUUUUCUGUGAUGUAUAUAUAUUAUGUGUAUUUAGAUUUCACAGGUUUGUAUUUAUGAUGGGGAAAAUUUGUAAGAGUUUGAAGCAAUGCAACUAAAAAGCAUAAUGUCUUUCUUUUUCUUUUGGCCUAAAAAUUAUACAUCAAUAUAUUGAACGACUUAGAACAUCUCCUAACUAACUGAGGAAAUGGUAAUUACCACAAAAAAAAAAAACAAAAAACACUACACUGCACUACACUGUAAUUAUAUUCAGGAAAAUAUGUGCUUGGCUUGACAAUCGACAGUAUUUGGAGUCAAUUAGACUUUAAAAUAAGAGUUCCGGUCCUCCCAUGCAGCUCUCGAGAGCCAAUGAGGUUUGUACUGGAAGUCUCUCUAUGACGGCUAGGAAAACUUGUAGUCUGUAUCGGAAGUCUCUCUUUGACGGCUAGGAAAACCCCUGUAUGGCUCUCGAGAGCUGCAUGGGAUGACCAGAACUCUUAUUUUUAAGUCUAAUUGACUAGAAAUGAUGUCGAUUGUCAAGCUGAGCACAUAUUUUCUUGAAUAUAAUUAUGGUCGUGGAAAAUAUUUCAAGAGGAAGAGCGAAGGCUACGUUCGGAAUGGGCAACUGCUAAGAUGGUAAUGUCCCCAUUCUCCACAGCUUCAUGCGUAGGAGGAAAGCAAUACAUAUAACUUGAUAUAUAUGCCAACAUUCUAUUUUCAAUGUGGAAGAAAUGAUAGUAACUGUUAAAUUUUGGGCUGUUGUCAACAAAGGACAUUUCCAAUCCUACAAGAAACAAAAAUUUCCAUGCGUUAACUUACAAAGUCAUAAGUCGCUGCAGUAUAUUAUAGACUUUGUACACCCAAUUAAUGAUGUCUUCGCUUCGGUUUUCUUUUGUGGUAAAAUCUCUCUUCGACGUAUUGAUCAGUUUGAAGAAUUCAGAAUAUGUGGCUGUGGUUGUUUCCCACUUUUAUCAGUUUGUAAGCGACGUUUUGAAGUUUCAUUUCAAGCCAAAAUUAAAAAAAGAAAUACGAAUUCUUUGUUAUUGGCUUUAAUUGCUCCUAAGUCCCAACACUCUGAUUUGCUCCAAUAUAUAAACACAAACCUGCAGACAAUCUAAAUCUAUCAAAAACCAGGCACGUUCAAGAAGAAAUAAACAUGCUACUGCAGUCUGCUCACCCACUGUCUCAUGGCUUCCUUUUCAUCCUCUUGUUCUCUUCCAUUAUUUCUACAAAUAUUCAUGCAUGCAACCAAACUGAAUGCAGAACCCCCACGCCCUUCUCCCCCAAUACGUCUUCUCAUCCUAUAAAUUGGACUUCCCUUAGUUCUUUCCAUUUAGUGGGCAUCCCUUAUCGUCACCAAGGUCGGGCCCUCAAUGGAGGAGACGCACAAGGGGAUGGCACUAAAGGCGGUAAUUUUCCCCCACUUAAGAUACAUAUUUCACCCACAAUUUAUACUUUAGAUCAAUGGAAUUUGAUUGCUUGGGUCCAAAAGUUUUGGAAGUGAACAUUACAUGGUGUUAUAACUAAACACAAUUGCUCAUAUCUUAAUUUUUUAUAGGGUUAAAUACUUUUUGGUUAUUGGAUUUUAUACGAAAAUUCAAUUUGGUCACUAAGAAAAAUAUUUAGCCAAAUUUGUCAUUGUGUUUCCCAAAGUUUACAAACCCUAAACCCUUACAAUUGUAAACUUUAUGAAACACAGUGACCAAUUUAGCUUACCAAAUUGAAUUUUCUUGUAAAAUCCAGUUACCAAAAAAAAAAAUUUUCUUUUCUUUUUUUAUAAUCAAUCGCGUGGUUUUAUACUAAUCCAUUGUCUGGUUUUGUUACUUUGAGCAGGGAUCAUUGCAAAGCCUUAGAUUUCAUGGAUGCAAGCUUUUUCAUUGUGGAUCUCCGUUUUGGUGGCGCUCCACAAUAUAUCACGUUACUCGGUUUCAAGAGUUUAUUCGAAUUGUAUCUUCAUAUAUUUUAGAAUGCUCCAUCAAUCUUUUCACAAGUUCAUCUUUCUCAUUCUACGUAGCCUUUACUGCAACACCUUGCCUUCUCAGCGACACCUUCACUCUACCUAUCUGCAGGAAAACGCGAGUUCUAGGCACAUUCCUACAAUUCAUACUAGAAGCCUUAACCCAAUCCAAAACAGCAGCACAAAUAAUCUUCCUAGGGUCGUAAGGCAAGUCCUCAGCAUCAUUAAAGAUGUAUUGGUUACGCCACUUCCACACAUACCAACAAGUGAAAACAAACAUGAUAUUCCAAGGAGACCUCCCUUCUCACUUAGCUUUAGAAAAGAGAUUGCUCCGAAGCCAAGAGGGAUAAUCAGAUAAGAAAAAAUCAUGGAGAUUACUUUAAGGCAGAACAGUAAGCCAUACUUCCUUAGCACGCCCACAAUCCCUAAGAGUGUGAUUGAUAUUUUCAGAGUGCCAACCACAAACAGAACAAGAGGAAUCCACAGCUAAAUGUCUCCUAACUCUUUGCUCAUUAGUUAGGAUCUUACCUUGGAAAACAAGCCAUAAGAAAUUUUCAACUUAGGCGGGAGAGACUUACUCCACAGACCCCUCCAACAAGCAUCAGACCAAGUAGAACCCCCAUGGAUCAGCUGAAAAGCAUAUUUAACAGUAAAGAUGCCAUUAGAAGUAGGCCUCCAUAUCUGAGCAUCUUGACAAUUUCCCCCAAAACCAACAGGAAAACAGGUGAUCUUUUGCACCAUAUCCUCAUCAAGCACAGUUCUUAACUUCUCAACAUCCCACCACCCUUCUUUAAAGAAAUUAGAGACCUUGCAGUCCAAAUCGAUCCCUGACUGCUCCCCUGCAUAAUGUAACAAAGGGAAAUCAGCCACCCAAUGGUCCUUCCAGAAAUUCACCUUGUCCCCAUUCCCCACUCUCCAAACCAUUCCAUUUUUCAGCAACUCAACACCAUAGAGAACACUUCUCCAAGUAGCAGAACACUCUUGUUUGGAGACCCCAGGAGUAUCCAAAAUAGAGUAGUACUUUAGGUACAUCUUUUCAUAAAUUUGAGCCCAUAACCCUUGAUCAUGAGUGUGCAUCCUCCAACCAAUCUUAGCUAAAAGGGCCCUAUUCAUGUCAGCAGUUUUCUUGAAACCUAAACCACCCCGACAUUUAGGACGACACACCAAAUCCCACUGGCAUAAAUGUACCUUCUCUUUUUUUCCACUGCCUCCCCCAAAAAAAUCCCUAUUAAUUCAAUCAAGAUCUUCACAAAUGCUACCUGGUAACUUAACAAUUUGCAUCGUAUACACAGGUAUAGAAGAAGUGACAGCUUGGAUGAGGGUAGCUCUACCAUCUAAGGAGAGACACUUCCUUUUCCAGGCAUGUCACGCCCCGAUUCGAAAAUAAGGAAUAUUCCCGAAUCAGAGUGUGAGUCAUACCAUAGUUAUAUGAAUAAAAUCCUACAACCGUGAUAUGAUGAGAAAAAGAGCCACAAAUAAAUACAAAUUUACUUAACAACACAGAAUCCGAGUCGCAGUAGCUCAUAGUUAAAUACACACUAAGAUCUUUAUCAAACAGUUGACUACUUACAAAAGUUAAUUACACAAAUCGAUAACAAAAACCUAGUUGCUUGGUUGAAACCUGAUUCCUCAAACUUCGCCUUGAAUCCUGCACAAUCUAUUAGGGUAUGAGCAUUCUAAUGCCCAGUAGAGUCCCGUCAAACCCCUCAAGGUCAACUAUCACAGUUAAUCAAAGUGUCAUACAUCAAAUAACACAAGAUACAAAAAUUAUGCAACCAUACCAGAUAAAUAAAUUUUGCAUAUGCAAUGAUGCCAUGAACUCACUCCCUUUUAAUCCCACUAAUUCAUACCUUAGGGCAACAAGCCUGCAUGUGAUCAUACCAUGCAUUUUACCACUGUGGCUCCAAAUACCCUAAAAUAUGAACUAGCGCCCAUCCGUCCAUUAACCCAAUUUUCUUUUGUUUACGAAUUUCUCAACUUUCACUUUUCAUUAGAGGCCAUGCUCCCAUCACCUCAUUAUAUUCAAGCCCUGCUCCGAUCACUUGAAUAUAUUUUAUUUUAUUUUUCUCAAAUAUACCUCAAACGACACACACACACACACACACACCUCAAACACCAUUGUCUUUAUGAUGCAUAUGUAAUGCAGUGCAAACCUCAUUUAUCUCUGCAGAAUAAUAAUACAAAUAAUAACAACAAUAUUUCAAGCUUCAUCACAUGAAUAAUAAUAUUCACCCAACGUCAAAAAUAAUAUCCAUGGAGAAACAUCAAUAAUAAUAUUCACAUAACAUCAAAUAAUAUUUAUCGAGCAAAGCAACAAUAAUAUUCAUAUUUAUAAUAUUAUAUAUAAGCACCAAGAUUAAAAGUGAUAUAGCCCAAUCAUCAGGAAAUCAGGAAACCCUACUUCAGGUCCAGCUAGCUAAAAUACCAAAUUUACCCUUUAGAGAUUCUUGAAGUUGUCGAAUCUACCCUACUGAUCCAAUUCCUGAACAAAUUCAAAUCCAAAUUAUUAUUGAGCAGUCUUCACUUUAUUUCACCUAAGUCCAACCUCAACCCUUAGCAUUUCAAAGAUUUUUCAUGAAAAUGACGAAAAUGCCCCUAGGACCAACCCAGGGUCCAAAGCAGCCAAAUCUCAUCCAAAACAAUCUAAAACUCAGUCAUAUGCCCUAUCAACACCAAAACAAGGCCAACUACACCCGUUAUCCAAAAGUUAUUAUUUGGGUCUCGUGGGCCCCACAACAUAUACCAACGGACUCAAAUUGAGAAAUCGAGUCGAAUGGACUGAAAAUAUGGCGUCGGAGCCUGCCGGAACAGCCGCCACUCGCUGGAGCUUGUUUCCGGUUACUGUUCAUCGUCCUAAAAAAUAAAAUCCUGCAAUUUCCCCUUUUUCCAGAUUAAAAACUCAGACUUUGUGACACAUUUUGACCAACCUAAAGUUAACGGAACUGGGAAAACUUGUAGUAGAUUUGAAGCUUAUUCUCUCUAGUUUCUAACUCAACAAACCACACUCAAAACGGAGCUAAAACGAAGGAGCAAACGAGCUCCAACUUUGGGCUCGCAACUAGUUUUUUUUCUGCAGAAAACAGAUUCUUUUUCCAAAAUUUGCACCUGCUUUUGACCCAUCAAAAUUCAACCAAUUCAACGAAAUCAAUAUUUUUUUGUUCCUUGCCAAGUCUAGUUUAAAACCCAACAAAUGGCUUCCUUAAAAACUCAAAGUAUUGGGAGAAAAAGAGAGCCAAAGUGAGGCUCACGGACCGCAAUUUUCCGGAAAUAUGCAAAUUUCCAGAUUUGGUUCUAAUUCGUUUCUAACCAUUCUAACAUCUCCAAGUUGUUCUUAAGGCUUCUAAAACACUUCUAAACUUCAUACCUAUCAAUCGAACUCAAGAAAAACUCAAAAUGAAACCAAAAUCAACAACACCCACACUUUAAAAUUUACUCUAUGCACCCAACCCGAAAAUAGAGAUUCAACCUCUUCCAAUUCAAUUUUCCCAUCUCUCAAAUGACUCAACAUACGCUUUAAGGAACUAGAAACACACAAACACCAAGUUAAAAAUCAUAAAUUCGAAAUUGACUCACCCUAGAAAUUUCUCUUCUCUUCUCUUCUUCUCUCUCUCUCUCUCUCUCUCUCUCUCUCUCUCUCUCUCUCUCUCUCUCUCUCUCUCUCUCUCUCUCUCUCUCUCCUACCACAACUCACCUCCCCUAGUUCUUAGCUUCAUCAAGAAAAAAUCCCUUAGUGACUCACCACUUACACUAGGUGACUCACCACCCCAAUAGAUGAACAACUCAUCCCCAAAAUCAGAUUUUUUUUGAAGAGAAAGAGGGAAGGGGGAAGAAUGAAGAGAACAAAAGCUUGGCUUACACGUUGGCUUUUUUUUUUUUUUUGGCCUACAAGGAUAUUUUGGUCAUGUUUGUCUAACUUCAAAUUAAACACACUUAAUUUUAUAAUCUCAAUUCAAAAUCACUUGAUAAAAUACCCAUAAUCAUUCUCCACAAAUAUUAUUUUUCACUAAAAUAUGAAAAUCCACUUUGAAUUUUUCGGGGUGUUACAAGGCAGCAAGCCUACUUUGCACUUUAUCAAGUAGACCAUUAUACGUAACUUUAGUCACACGACUAUGCAGCAGGGGCAAACCUAAAUAUUUUCCCAAAUUCUCCGUGAUGGGAGAGCCACAAAUAGCACCAAUCUCUUUCGCCACCAUUUUACAAGUAUUUGGUGAGCAAAAAAUUACAGACUUGGCGAAAUUCACAGCCUGACCAGAAGCACUACAAAAUAAAUCCAAACAAUUUUUCAUCACACGAGCUUGACAGGGAGUGGCUUCCGCAAAAAGCGCAAGGUCAUCUGCAAAGAACAAGUGUGACACACUAGGACCAUUUCGAGAGGUUUUGAUAGGCUUCCAGAGUUUUCUCUUGACAGCAUCAACAAUAAUAUGAGACAAUUUCUCAAUACAAAGAACAAAAAGGUAAGGGGAUAGAGGAUCCCCUUGGCGAAUGCCAUUGCCAGGAGAAAAAGGGUCCGUCAGUUCCCCAUUGAUGCAAAUUUGAUAUCUCAUAGUAGACACACAUUGCAUAAUAAGCUGAAUAAAACUAUUAGGUAACCCCACUUCCAAAAGAACAGACUCAAUAAAGCCCCAAUUAAGCCUAUCAUAGGCUUUGGAGAGGUCUAUCUUCCAAGCAAACAUCCUUUUUUUCCCCUUAGCUAGCUUAAACUUGUGCAUAAGCUCUUGAGCUAUCAUUAUAUUAUCAGUUAUAUGGCGGCCUGGCACAAAACUACUUGAUUGGGACUAAUCAAGUUGGGCAAAAUAGUGCGCAGACGAGAAACCAAAAUCUUAGAGAUGACUUUAUACAAGGUGCAGCACAAACUGAUUGGUCUAAACUGAACCAUAGAGUGAGGAUUCUCCACCUUUGGCACCAAAGUAAUUAAAGUGGCAUUAAGUUCCAUAGGGAAACUACUCUUCUGAAAAGCUUCACACACCAUAGUAUAUAUAUCAGGAGCACACAAGUCCCACUGAUGCUGAUAAAAACAAGCAGGAAACCCAUCAACACCAGGGGCCUUAAGACCACCAAUACCAAAUACAUUAUCCUUCACUUCCAAAAAAUCAAUUUUUUUCACCAAGGAAGCAAUCUCACCAUCAGUGACUGAAGGGAAAAAACAGGGAAGACUCACAUUAAUAGCAGCUUGAGCAGGAGCAAAGAGUUUGGAAAAGAAACCCACAACCAAAUCUUUAAUACCUGCAGCAUCCUCCACCCAAACCCCGUCAUUAUCCUUUAAUCGUUCAAUUCUAUUUCUCCUUCGUCUAAUCAUAGUUGUGAGAUGAAAAAACUUAGUAUUUCUAUCCCCUUCCUGAAGCCAUCUCAACCUGGAUUUCUAAUACCAAAACAGAGCUUCUUGAUCCAGAAUAGAAUUAAACUUAUCGUGCAAUUGCACUUCCAAAUUACUCAGAAAAGAAUUGGGCCCCUUACAAAGGGCUCUCUGGAUCCCAGACAACCUAGCCAACACCCCUGCUUUCUUUUGUCUAAGAUGCCCAAACACAUUUUUAUUCCACAACUUAAGGGGCUCAACAAAAGCACAAGACUUAUUGAAAGCAGAGCCAGAACAGCCCAACCAAUUCUCGGAAACAAACUAACUGAACUGAGCAUGCUUCAACCACAUUGCCUCAAACUGAAAUGGCCGCAAAUGAGGAGUAUACAUAAUUGAAGACUGCAAGUAAAUCUUAAUUGGACUGUGAUCAGAUUUAGUUCAAGGCAAGUGCCUCACAUAAGCUUCAGCAAACACACGCCUCCAAAGAAUGUUACAAACAGCCCUGUCAAGCCUUUCCAAGAUCCUUUUGUUAGUCCAAGUGUACUUAGGGCCAGUGAAGUGCAAAUCACACAUUUCAUUCUCAUCAAACCAAGCUUUGAAACCUCUUAAACGACCAGAGGAACUCCACCUAACUUGUCAUCAAAAUGAAGCAAAUCGUUGAAAUCCCCAGCCAAGAGCCAAGGCAUAUCAUGACAGCUAGUGACGAAAUUAAGAUAAUCCCAGAGUUAAGCCCUUUUAACCUCACAAGGCUUAGCAUAAAUAGCUGAAAAGAGCCAAGGAGACUGCCCAGGCCAAGAAACACACGCAGAGAUAGCUUGAUCAUGAGUACCAAUGAUCUCCACAUUCACCUUGGAAUCAUCCCAAAGCAGCCAUAGUCCCCCAAAAAAACCCACAGGAUCAACAAUCUCAAAACAAGGAAAACCCAAAGACUUAACCAUUGACACAGCUUUGGAGCCACUUAUCCUUGGCUCACACAAAUAAAAUCUCCAUAUGAUGAACACGAAUCAAUUCCAUCAUAUUAUUCCUAAACUUAGUGCCUGAAGCACCCCUUGCAUUCCAACAAAGAAUAUUCAUAAAAACAAUCAAUAAAGGUGAAUAACCUAAGGGCUAACCCUUAACAGUCAAAAUUCAUAUCUUCACCUGUGGUGAAGGUACUAUCUGCCAACGCCUCAUUAGGUCCACAUGACUUGCAGCCAGGUCCACUUUCUCUGUUGGAAUCAAGCCCUCCUGAGCAGAAGCAGCCAGAGAAUCAACAUCUACAUCGAUAUCCACCUCUUCCUCAGUAUCAGAACAAUUAGUGGCUAUCUUGGGUGGUCGAUGGCCAAAGUGAUAGACCCCUGUAGCCCGAUACGCAUCUUGACCAUUCGUCCAAAUAUUCAAUUGGUCAGUCAAAGAUAUUUUCCCACCAAAUUUCUUACCCUCAUAAACCAGAUUACUUUUGUUCACCAACUGUCCAACUUUAGAAUAGCUAGCAUCCUUCACCUUAUCAACAGUAGCCUGCACUUUCCCCUUUUCCUUUCAUAUUAGAAAUGUCAUUCAGGACAGUUCUAGCUUUACCAAGAUUAGUCUUAGACUUGGUCCAAACUUUUGAUCCCUUUCCAGCAUCUUUAACUUAUGAUCCCAACUACUCUGUGCAAGUUUGAGUAGCCUCAACCCUCUCAGCCCUACCAUCAAUCCCAAAAUUCUCAUCCACCUGUCUCAAAGCAUCAAAUCUAGAACCCGUAUUUCGACCUCCCUUGCCUCCAACUUCCUGAGUCACACCUUUAGAUCUCCGUCGAGCUGGAACAUUCAUCCAUGGCCCAAGCAAAUUCUCAGUAAAAGCAUUAAUACCUUCUUUCCCCAUUACAGUAUCACCUUCUACCAAACCAUCAUCACCCAAAGUGGAUCCAUCACCAGUCUUCUCCACAGUGGCAGCAUCUGGCACAUCACAGUGCUCCCUUUUGUGACCAUAUCGACCACACAUAUAACAAAUGUCCGGAAAGCCUUCAUACUCCACAUUGUACCAAACAUUGUUAAUUUGGACAAAAGCCUCAAGAGGCCGAGACAAGUCCAACUCUACACAAAGUCGUGCAAAUUUCCCCCGAUUCUGAGAAGUAGUGAGAGCAUCAAUCUUCAGCAACUUCCCCAACAAAUUCCCAAUUCUUUUCAAAGCUCAUACAUCGAAACACUCCAGUUGAAUCGCAGAGACACGAAUCCAAGCGGCCAUUCGAGUGAUCUUCGCAGUAGCAGGACAAAACCCAGGCCUCCAUUUCUGCAUAACCAAAUACUGGCCAGCGAUGAUCCAUGGUCCCCUAGUGAAAACGAAAUUAAUAUCCUCCUCAAGCUCAAAGCGAACCACAAAGUAAUCAUUGACCAAAUCAACUAGUUUCCACCCUCCAAUUAGGCUCCACUUUUGUUGAAGUCGAGCAUGGAGAUAGUUGUAGGUAUGUGAUCUCCCAAGGAGUUUGAUAAUAAGAGCAUUCUGCCAAGGUCUGCAGAGACGAUCCAUGGCGCGAUCCAAAAACUGGAUGCACGGCCCACGAUCACCACGAGAAAUAGUCACAUCCUCAUCGUCAUUCAAACCCUCAUAUUCUGCCUCUAAAGAAUUAACAUCAAUUCCAACAUUUCGAACCAGAUUUACCUUAUUCAUGAGCUCAUCCUUGAAGCUCUCAGAACCAGAAGCCCAUUUGGGUAGGCCCGUUUCCGCAGAUGGCGGCACAGCCAGAUUGGGCUCAGACAUCAUCUGACUAUCCACACCUCCAACGUCUGCUGCGCGACUCCGCUUGGGUACCUUGUAAUCCUUGGAGGUAAUCCUUGAGAAAAACUCCAGGCGAGCCUUCCUCCAUGGAGAAACGACACCCAAAACCACAAUCAACAGUAGAAAACUCUCAGAUCUACACCGGGAAACCACCCUAGAUGGCAGUUCCCAGCCGGCAGCGAUGCAAAUGAAAACUCGGAAAAUUGGGCUCACAUGUGAAGCGCGUGUCAAAAAAUCAAUGACCUGACUUAGUAAUUUCAAUGACCUCAUAUGAUUUUUCAGUCUCAAGGAAAUGUGAUGUUCUUUUUAAUAUAAUAGCUUGCAGGCAUCAUAUAUUUGCAAAUUAGAAAUGGCCUACUGGCCAAGCCAAGAUGCAAGUGCAGAUCUAAUUCAUUAACACAAAACAGGCGUGUGCCAAUUAUCAAGAAAAUCUGCUGGAUCUUCAUAUCAUAGUAGUUAUUUACAUUGAAUCCAAAGUAUAUUAAAAGGCCUACAAACCCAACAAACAAAAAAAGUAAAUUCAAAGGCUUAACUUGCAAGUUCUAAGCCAUCACAGGUGAGGGAUAUACAUGCAAUGACAGGCCUUUGCCGCAUGGGUUGAUAGAAUUAAUAAAACUGGAGAAAAUUUUACACCGCCAACCUUGCAAUGCAAGGUACCUUCAGCAUCUGGUAAAUAGUUUCAGCGGUGCAUAAAGCUGUUCCAGAACAGACUCCUUUCCAGUUCUGAGAUGACACUAUAUUUCAUAUGCUUCAUGUAGCUAACUCCAAUUUUCUGUCACGUGGCACAAGAUUUGCUUGUGUCCUCGUUGCAGCUCUGCCUGUUAACAUAUAUGAUUUACAGCCGUUUAAAGUGAUUAUUUGUCUUCUUGGGCAUUCAAAAAUCACAAGAACAUGGAAAAUUCAUGUAGGAAAGAGGACAUAAUCAAGGGAUCAAGAGGGAUCUAAAAAGGGGGACUUGGGGGACAGGAAAGUUGAUACAAAAAAGUUUUUAUACGCAUCUGCGUAUCAUGUGGGCAGAAAGUUAUUUCAUUUGCAUAUUUGUACAAAACAGAAACAAGCACAUAUAGUACAGGUUAAUUUCUGCAAUUCACAAAAAACUCAACAACAAAAAAUCCACAAAAAGAGAAAACACAUCAUUAAGUCAACAAAAACCGUACACAUGAUUGUAGAUAGAUAGACCACAUGAACUCACAAACAUUUAUCACUUUCCAUCUCCCAAAAAGAAAUAUUGAUACAUGCACGCAUGUGCAUGCAUUAAACAGACAAGAUCAGAACUGACCUUCCUCUUUCUCUGUUUUCCUCCUGUUAGACCAAAGAAGCCGAAUUGGAGUUCCCAGAAACCCAGCAUCUGAUCGCAGUUGCUUCUCCAUAUAACGGCGGUACGUCUCUGGGAAAAGUUUUGCAUCAUUGACAAAGAACACAAAUGUUGGUGGCCUUAUAGCUGCCUGCAAAUGAAUACAAAGUAAAGCACAUAAUUGUCAUGUUCAUAAAAUAUAUAUAUAUAUAUAUAUAUAUAUACUGGUUUGUAGUCAAUCACAUGCAAAUUUGAAAGAACAGAUACUGUCCUCAGGAUAGGCACGCAUGGAAUAUAGUUAACACAGUCAAUUUUUAGCACUGAAUCAUCUAAAACCUAAUAGCAGUAGAAAACUGUACUUUUCCCGGUCUUAACAGAUCAUGCUUUCUGUUCAUAACAAGAAAAAAUAUCUAAAUUUCAUUGACACUAGCAUCCAAAGUUUGCGAGGGUGUCACUUGCCAGGAGUAUGAUCAACAAGAAUGCAAGAGAUAUAUUAAUCACCCAAAAAACAUAAAAUGCAUCCUACAUAAAACAAGAACCUGAGUGCAGUAAUAAAUGCGCCCUCUUUUGCCACCUCGUGUCCUUGGUGGUGAUUUAAAAGCUAGUGCCUCCUGUACAACUUGAUUUACUACAGAAGUACUAAGCCUUCUUGAUCUUUCUUUCUCAACUGUGCUAGCAGCAAUGAUAAUCCUAAAACCAAAGACAAUAAUACCAUUAAUGUAGCCCACGGCCAACAUAUCUGCAAUAUGAAAACAAAUUCUUGGCAUAUACAGAGGUUUUCUAUCAAGAAUAGCAUACAAUACUAAGACCUUAAAUUCCUUGAAACUUCAAACCAUUAAAAUUAUGUAUAAGAUUCUUGUGAAACUCCAUUUGUAACCUGUAUAGUGUUUUACUGAUACGGGACACUGUAUACCAGAAUGUAUAUAACUCAUAAACUGAAAACCAAAAUUACAAACUGGUUUAAGCCUAAAGUCCAUAGGGAAUAAUCCUGUUAAAUUUCAGAAAGACGGGUCAGCAGCGGCAAAUUACCAGCAACACUGAUAUUGUCCCCAACUUAACCACCUAUAAAGCCUAGUAGAUGUUCGGGUAUAUCAGAAAAGGCCUCGGUGCUAUUAGUAGUGGAACCAUUCAUUAUAUGUUGUAUUUUAUUUAGUCAAUUUUCCAAUUGUGAGACUUAAUACCCUUCAACAGAAAACUACCACCAUCUGCGUUUUACAUCAUGCAACUUCUUUCUGUAGGGACAAGUAUAGGUUAUAUAUACAACUAUGAUAUCAUAUAUAAUUUAGGCUGACCUAUCUUAACAAGAAUCUAAAGCUUAACAAACAUCUAUUAGAAGAUGGAGCAACAUCAAACUAAAUUCAAAUAUAACCCAUCACAUCCAUCAUAUUGACAACAAAUUGAAAACUUCUUCCAGUUAAAGGUGCUCCUAUCAUUUAUCUUGUGCUGUGAAUAGAGAAUAAGGGUUUCUUCACAUACAUGAAGUUAGGUAAAGACUGCAGUUGUUAAGCUAUAAAAGAGAUGAUGUUAACAGAAAACAUACUUGUCAACACUUUGACCAGCUAUUGCAGUUGAAUAUACAAUAGGUGCCCAACCAAGAACACGAAGCUUUUCCCUAACAUCCUGCUCAUAGUAUGUUGCAGUCUGCUGGUUUUUAUUCGGUAUGGUAUCCCAUUUGUUUACAACUAUCAGGCAGCCUUUACCUUCUCUUUCUAUCCUUUCAGCAAUCUUGCAAUCCUAAGAGAUACACAAGAAAUAUACAUGAGGAAAAGAAAACAUCUCAUUAAUCAAAAUUCUAAGAUGCCAUUGCUUGAAGAAAUUUCGAGACGCAUAUUAUACGAUCAAAGCCUAAAAAAAGGUCUUGGAAGAAAGAAAAAAAAGACGCUAAGUUUUCACUAUUACUCAUUCUUCUAUAAGUUAUUAGAUAAUAAACUAUAAACUAAAUACUAGAAAUAUGAAUAUCUUUAGCAUCAAAGAGAUUUCAUAAGAACUGGACCAAAUAUAUAUAGUUGAAAGUUUUCUACAACAUGACAACUUUUUUUGCUAUCUUUUCAGUGAAGUAUAUCCAAAUUGAAUAGCUCGAAAACUAUCUGACCACUGGUCCUUGUGUCUUAAUUAUUUUUCAUUUCAAAAAGAGAUUUCUCCUUGUUUAAGGGUACAUAAUUUGAAACUAAACAAAUGGCUCACAUUCAGGGAAAGACAUUAUCACAAAAUUUUGUUCAUUGAAACUUAUUUUAAAACCUGAAAGAUAAAACUGAAAAACUAACAGAUGCCAACAAGACACACAAAACACUCAAUUUUGCUCGUUAAGCAUUUCAAGAAAACCAUAACUUCCAAACGUACAAUAGACAUUCUAUUUCUGUCCAUAUUAUGCAUGCAUGAGACUGACUUUCAAGUCUGCAAGGACCUGCUAGGUAUGGAGAGGAAUGUUAGGCCGUUUACACUGUAUUGUGUUUUAAAUAUUAUUAAAAGAACAACGAAAGUUAAGAAAUCUAGACAUGGAGGAAAGAUAAAUAAUUACAUACAACCAAAACAUCCAUAAAGUUAUUAUCAUGACUUAUUUUANNNNNNNNNNNNNNNNNNNNNNNNNNNNNNNNNNNNNNNNNNNNNNNNNNNNNNNNNNNNNNNNNNNNNNNNNNNNNNNNNNNNNNNNNNNNNNNNNNNNNNNNNNNNNNNNNNNNNNNNNNNNNNNNNNNNNNNNNNNNNNNNNNNNNNNNNNNNNNNNNNNNNNNNNNNNNNNNNNNNNNNNNNNNNNNNNNNNNNNNNNNNNNNNNNNNNNNNNNNNNNNNNNNNNNNNNNNNNNNNNNNNNNNNNNNNNNNNNNNNNNNNNNNNNNNNNNNNNNNNNNNNNNNNNNNNNNNNNNNNNNNNNNNNNNNNNNNNNNNNNNNNNNNNNNNNNNNNNNNNNNNNNNNNNNNNNNNNNNNNNNNNNNNNNNNNNNNNNNNNNNNNNNNNNNNNNNNNNNNNNNNNNNNNNNNNNNNNNNNNNNNNNNNNNNNNNNNNNNNNNNNNNNNNNNNNNNNNNNNNNNNNNNNNNNNNNNNNNNNNNNNNNNNNNNNNNNNNNNNNNNNNNNNNNNNNNNNNNNNNNNNNNNNNNNNNNNNNNNNNNNNNNNNNNNNNNNNNNNNNNNNNNNNNNNNNNNNNNNNNNNNNNNNNNNNNNNNNNNNNNNNNNNNNNNNNNNNNNNNNNNNNNNNNNNNNNNNNNNNNNNNNNNNNNNNNNNNNNNNNNNNNNNNNNNNNNNNNNNNNNNNNNNNNNNNNNNNNNNNNNNNNNNNNNNNNNNNNNNNNNNNNNNNNNNNNNNNNNNNNNNNNNNNNNNNNNNNNNNNNNNNNNNNNUAUAGUAAAAGUAAUAAAAAAAAAAACAAAAGGGUGUGUAAGUGACAAAGGGAGUGGGAAAAUCAGCACCCUUAAAAAAAUCCAACCUAGUUUGUUUUACCCUGCGCACAUGAAGGCAGAAAACUGUGGGCAUGUUCUUCAGAUCUUUAUAGAAAGGAUAACUCAAAAAGAAUGUUACCUGUUCUGUGAUACAAGCCAGGGCCUCAAUUACAAGAGCCACAACAUCAGAACGACGAAUGGCACGAAAUGCUCGAUUCACCGAUAAAGCCUCUGUCAUGCUACCUGAUGAAGCAACGACUGCUCUUCUUCUGAUUCCAGCAGUAUCAAUUAGCCGGAACUUCUGCAAAACCCCCACCAAAAAAAAAAAAGUAGAAUGAUAUAAAGGAUUACUGAUCUAACAGUUGUGCACUAAUAUCAUAAGCUGGUAAACUAACAAUAGCUAUAGGAUCCCAUCUAAGACGGCAUAUGAGUAGACCUGAACCAAACUAUUGCUUGUUCGAGCUCGGCUUAUACUUGAACUUGCCUAAACAGCCUCAAGAUUUGCCUCAAGGAAACUUCCCAGGCUUGAUGAUGCAGAACCAAUAGGAGAAGGAGAAAGAGAGAGAAGAAGAGAAAGAUAAGGGAAAGGACGUUAAGAGGAGAAGAGCAAUAGCCAGGCAAAUAAGAUUUGAAUAUUUCAUAAGUCAAGUAUAUUAACAAGGAGUCAGACCCUAGCCCACCUUUCUACCUAAACUAUUAGAAAAUCUCCAAGUGUCUUUAACAAACAGAAUAAAAAGCCAGGAUAGAAGCACACAAACAGAGAGAAGAAAAUAAAUUAUCAAACUUAAGCAAUCUGAUCUUGAAUAACUCACAAGUGGCACAGUUCUUUUGCAAGCCCAAUUCCAAGAUUCAGUCGAUAAAAUCGGCACUUGAAUUUCGAUUUUGGUAAAAGAUGAAUAGUGGAAAGUAAGAAUAGCUUGAGGUAAAUGAACUUCUUAGGCUAGACAUGAUGGUUUUGUCUCAAGAUACAAGUUUACCAUCAAACUUUUCAUCAUUGAUUUCACUAGAAAUUCUCUUUGUAUUCCUAGGCAGAAUUCUACAUAGAGGAAAUUUUUAUAAAAGCUCCAUUUAAAGAGCGGAUGAAUACUAUUGUGAAAAGCACCUGAUCUGAAGUGGUUUUUAUGAUUCUUCAGUUUCAUACUAAUAACACAGUAGAUUCGCGUAGAACAUUUUGUGUAAUAACUGCCAGCAAUAUGUGGUAUAAUAGAAUAGAAUGUAUAACUGUAAUCCAAUCAAACCUGUCCAUCUGGUCCAAUAAAUUCAAUAUCAAUUGCAUCACGGGUAGUUCCACUGACUGGGCUAACAAUUGUCCUGUCCUCCCCAACCAAAGCAUUCAAAAUGCUACUUUUACCAACAUUUGGUCGGCCAACAAUCGCAAUUGCAGGAACAUAAUCUUCUUGUUCAGCAAAAUCUUCUGGGUCCUAUAUAUAUAAGCAUAGAAAAAUAUGUCAUAAAGAAACGACAAUAUUCAUAGAACAGGGCAACAACAUGCUAUGUUGGGCUUAAGAAAUUACUAGAAGCACCAGAUUUUUUAUACUAAGGACUAAGAAGCAUGGAGAGAUUCUAAUAUUGAACCGAAAGUUCACUAACAUGCUCAAAAUGAACACCUUUCUUCCUACAAGUGCUACUUCAAAAGUGAGUAACAGAUGGCAAAAUUAAGUCAAUUGCCAAUUAAACUCCAGUAUUCAACAAAAGGCAGUUAAAUUUGAAGAAUGAUAUAACCUAAAAAAAAUUCUGUGAUUACAAACCUCAGUAUUUUUCAGCCCUGAACACACAAGAUCAAGAAGCUCUCCAGUUCCAGUUCCAGAUAUAGCAGAUAUAGGAAGUGGUGAAAACCUGGUCAACCAACCAAAAAGCAUUAUGUACAUUAACAUAAGGAUACUACAUUUUUAUGUAUCCACUAGAUCCAAAACUUAAAAUGUGCCUAUGUGUACCAUCAUUGUGGAUUGUAAAUAUUAACGCUGAUGAAAAGAACCAACCCUAAUGAGAAACUCAGACAUUAUAUCCUCCCCAAGUAUCAGAUUUCGGAAAUCAAUUUUAAGCUAAGCUAAGUAUUGUUAAUGCCAAGCUAAAAACAAACAAAUCACAAACAAAAAACAUAAUACAGAGGAGCAAACUUCCUAUAUUUCUAAUCCAUCUUAAAUGCCAGAGUCAACCUAAGUCAUAAAAGAAUAUCUUCGUAAAAGCAAGAAGACACUUUGCAGUCAUUUAGUAACAGAAACAUUCUCUUAAGAGUGAAACAUAACAAUUAAUUUUUUUUUUUUGUUCACGGAAAUAAAAAUCAACAUCCUUAAUAAGGAGGGCACACUCUCAGGGGCAGCAAAUAAUAAAAGAGGCUUCAGCUGAGGUAGGAGAGACACUAUAAUUAGACUAAAAAAGACAAAGCUAGGUGGAAAUAAGAAAUCCACAGGUAUAACUCUUUUUCUGAUAAGAAAUCCACAGGUACAAUUCUGAACUUAUAUCUUUUAUGAUGAAAGUUUUCAAUAACAUUGUUGCUUUGAUUAUAUGCUUAAUUGGUCUGUUAUGGUGUCUUGUCUAAGUUGCUAAUAAGGCAUCAGUUCAGAUGUCGGAAAAAUAAAAUGAAGUUAUCCUAGAAGUGGCUUUCUUUGCCCUUUAUGAAAACAGUUCAUGUUUACAAGCCUAAUUAGAUAAUAAAUAGACUAGAAAGUCUUGAAACCUGGGACAUAUGUUGAAAAAAAUUGUUCCUUUGAUUAUUAUAUGCCUUAUUUUUCUGUUUUAUUGUCUUGUCGAAGUUGGUAUUAAAGCAGGGCUAAAUUGGAACUAUUAGCAGGCUGUAAGGAUGAAUAGCAUAUUUAAACACAACAAAAAGAAAGUGUGUAUACCCCUAUGAUAAUGCUACCAGGCAUCACCGAGGACAACAUAACACAUAUAACCCACAGAAAGGAGGUAGAAUAAAAUGGAAACAAGAAUUUACUAUCUAAUACUUUGUUUAUUCUGGAUUGAACAAAACAGGGUAUAACCCAUAAGUUCAUUAGACAAACAUGUUUGUUUUUUUGGGUCGAUCAUUAGACUAGCAGAGAUGCAUUACUAUUUAUCAGUUUUUAAAAGAAAAUUAAUGCUACUGAUCUAAGGCCAGAGCCCUUUUGUCAAAAAUUUAGUAAAAACAGAUAAUAGUUGAUCUCACCCUAACGACCAAAACUCUGAUGCUUGCAUGAUCCCUUUACGUGGAGAUUCACACUUGUUAACUGCAAGAAUGAUGUACUUAUCUGAGUAGUUCUUACGUAGCCAAUCUGAAAUUUCCUCAUCUGCUGCAGUUAGACCUGCCUGUUUAUCACUGUCAAUACUAUAUAUUGUUAUCUUUACAAUUCUAAACCCAGGCACCUUUUUCACCAAAGUAUUUGUUAAUAUAAAACCUCCAAAUAUGCACUUUUAUGAACUCAUAUCAUUUAUCCACAUGGUUGUCAUAAGUGAAAAUUAGUGUCAAAAUAAGAUGGCUAUUAUUGUAAAUAAAUUGGAAACAAAUCUUUUCGGAAAUUAUGGAAUGACACUACUCCACCUCAUGACCAGUUUUUGACAACUUCUAUUAUUCCUGGUAGAAAUCCAUUUUAUCUUAGAAGAAACACAAACUUUAUUUUUCUUAAAGACCUGGAAGUAAAGUACAAGUAGCAUGGACAAGAAUCUGUCAUAACCAGAUUGAUACCACUCAGCAAAAACACAUCACAUUCAAUUCAAAAGUCCCACCAAUCAAAUGAACUGCAGUAAAGACAUAUUUCUGAAAUGCUUUUACAAAGAUGCGCAAAACAAAGCUAAAAAUUUAAUGCUAUCUGAAAUUAGAUGCAGUUCACCUUACCAUCAUAAACUUAUAUGUGUUUCAAUAUUGUGUACACUUAUACCAUUGUACAAUUUCAGUGAUACAAUUUUUUUUUUUAAAUUUCUAAUAUUUAACACGUGUUUUUCGACUUUGAAAGUUUUGAAAAUAUCAGUUUCUAAAUAUGUGUAUAUAUAUAAAUAUGUAAUUAUCACAGUUAUCACUUCAGAGGUAUUUAUGUAAUUAUUUUUCAUUCAUUAAUAUGGCCUGUUGCAAGUAUAUAAAUAUGUGUAUAUAUAUAGUUAUAUGUUCUUGUUAUUUAAUACUACCCUCUCCAAAAGUGUAUAGAUCACUUUGGGGCUAACACUAAAUUUUUAACAACUUUCCAAAUUAAUUUGGGCCUAAGAAAUUUUGCUUUAAUGUGUCUUAUUGGGCCACCAAAACAAUAUAUAGAAGCGGCAUGACUAAUGUUACUAAUGCAACAUUUGCAUCUUCAGAAAACCAAUAAUGUAUAAGCAUAUUGCAGGCUAGAAGCUCAUAUUUUCCUUACACAUACCAGCCUGAAGCAGGCAAAAGAGGCACAUUGCAGUGGUCCCACAAGUAUUUACCAAAAACUAUACCUUGCCAUCAACAAGGAAUAUAAUGACAGAUGAUUCUUCAACAGCUGCAGUAGCUUGCUUCUCUAUCAUCGAAGGCAUCCUGGCAACAGCUGCCUCCCUGGAGGCAAGUGGAAUUCCGUCCAUACCAAUGGUUGUUGAAAUAGCUAAUUCUUCCAUGACACUAGCCUGGGACUUCGAAACUGUAAGAACACCACCAGUAUCCACCACCAUAAAUUCAUGAUCUCCCCAAAAGGAUCUACCAUAAAGGCGAUCCCUAGUAACCCCAGGUUCAUCAACUACAAUUGCCUUGUUCCCCUGCAAUACAUAAAAAUGAAUAAAAAUACAAAGAAACAAAGAAGAAGUCAACUUACAGAAUUAAAAGCAUUGAUAUAGUUACAUUUGGACGCUUGAAAUUGUAUAUUCAGUAUCAAAACGUAUUGAAACUAAACAGAAAACAGAAGACCAGAUUCUGUUUAAGUACCGAGACAAGGCGAUUAAAUAAUGCUGAUUUACCAACAUUUGGUCUUCCAACAAUUGCUACCCUUGGAAGAAGAUGGUCAGGGAUCUGCAAAUGAAAUUUGAAUGGUUUAGCGACUAUGAAUCUUCUCUAUUUUUCCUCCACUCAGAAAAAAAUAAAUAAAUAAAAGAAAGAGAGCCCCAAACUUACAUUAUUUGAAAAGAACAGUCUGAUUGCAUUAUAGAAAUCAACAAAACACUUAGCAAAAACCACAAAAAAGGAAAGACAAACAGUAAAAAUGCUCCACAGUUAUAAGAUAAACAGAAUUGAGAAAAUAUGCAAAGACCGCACACUUCGAAGAGCAACAAGUGAGUAUUUUUUAGGAAUUGCCACCAAUUUAUGUCUAGUUAUGAUUUGCAAUCUACAACAUAGCAUUUUUAUCAAUUCCUAAGAUCAAGGGCCUGAGGUCCUAAGUGGUAAAGAAAACGAUAACCACUAUAAUAUGAAGAUCUUGAAUUCAUUUACAUUAGUCUUGGUCAUGCAUGAAGAUCAUGGGCGGCCCAAGCAUCUGUUAUAAGUUUCAACCAACAGUUAUCUCUUUCUUACCAUCCUCUAAAUGAUUUUAAUUUUUCUAAAGAACUCGAAAAGCACAAUUAUGCUUUAUGGUUCUGAUAACUCCUUAUUAAAAGCGCCAAAUUCCUAGAAAGAUACCAAUCCCAUUAUCCUCAGACAUAACUCUCACUACUUUCUCAUAAAAACUAUGAAAAUGACCAUGAUAAGACGCUUACUUACACUUUUAACUGUACUUUUAUGCCUCCUCUGCUUUCGACCAACUUCCUCUUGGUCAUCCUUCUCAUCUUCUGAAACCAUCAGAUGACGGAUAAGUAGUCAUCAUACAACCAAAUGACAAAGGACACAUUGAUAACUUGGUCGUCAAUAAUGCCCAAACAAAAUGGGCAACAAAACUAAAGUUAAAUUAUUUUUAUCAAAUGUGGAAAAACCUGAAGGAAAAUCCUUAAAAUAGAAAAAAAUGCAGCCUUAUUUCUUUUUGAAUUUUUUGGAAAAAGUCAGCAGCUUUCAGAAUAGUUGGGUGAAAUUAUGAACAGGGUUCGUCAGAUACAAUAAAAAUCAGCUAUUUCCCCCAACUUUAAUUGCAAUUCAAUUUCCAAGAAUACCAUACCAAGCAUCAAAACGAUAGUCUAAGGAGCAAAUUACAGGCAGAGACAAACGUACCGAUUCUGAGCUGGCUGGACAAAGAGGAAGAGAACUCUUGAACCACGUAUCGAGCGUCUUCUUCGAGGUCAUCGGCGUCGACCGUUGAUAAAUCGUCUACGCCGUCCGACUCAUCCACGAGCUCUCCCACUUCUUCUUCCCCUUCUUCUUCUCCGUCUUCUUCUUGGUCAUCUGUUAUGGAGAUAUUGAAAUCUUUGGUGGAGAGGCGGGAAAGGAGGCGAGGAAGAGAGGGAAGGCAAGUGUGGAGGGAAAGCGAAGGAGCGCGAGGAAUUGGAGAAGAUAGAGAUUUGGGGAUUUGAAAUGGGGAAGAGAGAAGAGAAAGGGUUUUGGAGAGAGUAGGAGAAGUGGUGAUUCCUCUGUAGCACAAGAGCUCAGUGGUCGGAGCUGCCAUUGUCUCUGUAAAAGCUUUUUGAGUUUUCUGGGUGGUAGUUUAUCCACUUCCGCGCCUGGCUUGCUGGGGUUUAUGCUUUUAUUAUAAUUUUCAAAUUUACUGCUAAAAUUAUUCGACCAUAGUUAUACGCAUAAAAUCAUGAGUUUUUGUCUUCUAGUUUACCGAUAUUUCCACUUGGGUCCCUGUAAUUUCGAUUUUGUAAAUUUUACCAUUUAAUUAUCAAUAUGUCCUCGGUAGUUUACCAUAAAUCUCACUUUACCUCUUGCAAUUUAAGAAGGGUCACAUUGUCCCGUGCUGACCUUUAUCUUUAUGUGUCCCACGUUACAUUAAUUCGUCAAUUUCAUAACGAAAGGCAUUAAGUUUGCUUAGGUGGCAUGGUUAGUUUAAUAAAUUCAUCCACGUGGAUAGCUGUAGGUUAAGAUGUGGCAUGUGUCGUGGCAUUUUGUGGGACCCCUCAUUAGAUUGAUGGUUAAAACUCGAUAUUGAGUAUAUGGGGUUGUGCAGUCAAGUUAGGAAACUUGCAAUGAAAGGGCUUGCCCAAGCAAAAGGCCCAUUAGCCUCCCAAAACUCAUCAUAAGAGCACUUUCACGUAUUUGCUAUGGCAAAGGGCAAGGGCAAAGGCAAGGCAAGGUCUGUUACUAUUCACGUGAAUCGUGGUAGCCCAUGUAAAAGGCUUGUGGUGUUUCCACCCAUUACCAUGGCAACCACUAUUCACAUGAGAUAUGAGGAGAGUAAUUUGUAUAGAGUUUUGAUGUGGAAAGUGAAGAAUAUGGCUGAGUAUUUUUUUUUUUUAAUAUGAAAAUUUUAGUAUUUUUUUAAGAUUUUUUUAUUUUUAUUUUUUGUUGCUGACGUCAGCAAACCUAGGCUAGAGCACGGGCUCGUUUUGCCUUGGGGCUGGCCUGGUUUCGUGGGACCCAGUUGCUGCCCAGGCAGCUUAAACCCGCUGGAAGCGAAAAACGAGCCAUGGGCCCCCUCCUGCCUUGGCAAAGGCAACUGCUGGAGUUGCUCUAACGGUGAAAAACUGCCCUGGCAGCAGUGGGCUAUACCCAAGCCUUGGCGAGCCCAAAGGCAAGACUUGCAUGGGCAAGCUAAUGUCAUCAGCCAAUUUAAAUACCAAAAAUAUUGAAAAAAAAAGGAAAAAUAUCAAAAAGUUCAUAAUUUUUUUUAUCAAUACCUAGCCAUGUUCUUCACUUCCUACUCCAAAACUUCAUACAAAUUCCUCUCCUCAUAUCUCAUGUAAAUAGUAGUUGCUCUUGGGUUGCCAUGAUAAUGGGUGGGAAUGCAUCAAAAAAAUUGAUAGGGCUGACACUAUUCACGUGCCCAUGGCAAAUGGUUGGAAGUACUCUUAGGGUUAAAAAUUAAAAAAAAAAUUGGGGAUCUAGUGCAAAAUAUUGAAGCAUGAAAAUUUGGAAAUCUCAUCUACAGUUUUAAAAUACUCGAAAUUAGAGCUCGAAGCUUUGAAUGGGGUACUUAGUGCAGGGUUUUUUGUGUUUGAAUAUUGGUUAAGUUGAAUAUGGGAAAAGAAUUUGGGUACCAUUUUACUUGAGAUUGGGGGCAAGAAUCAUUGAAUAUUGGUUCGUGUUGGACUUUAAGGCUGCAGAUUGAGUUGGUGCGACCAUGACUGUGCGUAGAGAAGUUGGAACUGUUUAACCCGUGUGUAAGUGGACCCUAUCUUCACUACUUUGUCAGAUUUUUGUAUUGUGCUUUUGGAUGCUUGUUAUUGUAUUACUGUAGUUUUUGCCUUUUAACUAUUUUGUGGUCCUUUUGUUGUCACUGGUCCUUUUUUUCUUUUUUCUUUGGUCCUUCUAUUGUUUGCUAUGUUUGUGUAAUUAGACAUGGUUUUGUGUCUUUAUUUAGUGUGUAGCUUUGUCGAUAUUCCAUUGACUAAGGUAGUUAAGGUAUUGUAUUAAUUAAGGCUUGGUAUGUGGCAGAUGAAAAAACAAAUGACCUUGUGACAUUUAAUUUCUAUCAUGGAGGUAAGCUAGUUAAAAACGGCUCGAGUGAGAGAGCAUGGUCUUACUUGGGUGAUUUAGUAAGUUGGUUCGACUACACAGAAUCUGAGAAUAUGUCCAUGUUAGAGUUGUGGGCUAUGGCUAAAGAUAUUGGUUAUGAGGAUGGUGUGGCUUUUUAUGGUGAAGAGGUUGGGACUGGGAAACUAAUUAAAAUCAAAAUAGAUGGCAGUAUAUUAUACAAUAUGAAUGGAUUUCCUAAAAGCCUACAUACAGUGAUUGUGAUAUAUAUUGGGGAUAAGAAUGAGCAAGUGCAAAAUGUGCAUGAGGAAAGUGAGGAUGAUGAAACUUAUCUAAGAACCUAUGAGCAUAUGAUUAUGCCUAUGACAAGCCAAGACCAAUUGAUUAAGACAAAUUUACCUCCAUUGAUGCCUCCAAAAUAUCAUAAGCAACCUGGUAGGCCAAAGAAGUCAAGGAACAAGGCUGCAAAUGAACCCAAACAAGCCUCAAAUCCAUACAAGCUUCCAAGGUAUGGAAUUCCAUUAAAAUGUGGCAAUUGUGAAGGAAAAAGCCAUAAUCAAAAAAGGUAUAAGGUAUGUACUACCCUUUAGUUUGUUUUAGUGCCUUUACUAUUUAAUUGUAUUUACUAAUUCCAAUUCAUAUAUUCUUCUCAGGAACCUUGGAAUCCUAACUCAAAGCCUCCAAAGACUAAAUAAACUCAUAAUUUAAUUUACUAGUAUUAUUUGAAUUUGACAAUUUUUUUUUACUAUGUUAUUUUGCAGGUGAGAAAGAGAGAUUGUACACAAACACAAAAUGGAACUAAGGCUAAGAGGUCAACAUAUCAGCUCUUAGCCAGAAGGCAAUGGACUAUGCACAAGGCAAUUGAGGAAAAGGAAAGAUUGAGGACCUAGUUCCCAAGGGGCACAAUCGACCAAACAACCUCAAAUUGAAAGCCAUCAAGCUUUAAAUGAGCCACAAACAAGUCAAUGAAGGCCAAUUUCACAGCCUACAACCACUGCAAAGGGAAGUCAAGCUAAGAAGAGGAUGAAACAAACUGCAAUGGUUUUCGGAAUGUUUAAAUGGAUAUGUUGUUUAGGAAUGUUUGAAUGGAUAUGUUGUUUUGAGAUGUUUGAAUGGAUAUGUUGUUUUGGGAUGUUUGAAUGGAUAUGUUGUUUUGGGAUGUUUGAGUGGAUAUGUUGUUUUUGGGAGGAUAGUGCAAAACUUCCUUUGUAAGCUGCUGCAUUUUGGGUUUUGGGAUGAUUUGUGAUGGUUGUUUGUGAUGGAUAUUGGUAAUGAAUUUUGGUUUUUGGGAUGAUUUCAGGUUGAAGUGGAUAUGGAUUUGUUGAGGCCUAAAAAAUCCAAGGUUGGGCCUAAAUAUAUUUAUAGUCCAGUACGACACCUAAUUUAGGAAGAAACCUAACUUGGGUAUGCAAGAAUUCGUCAUAUAUGCUUGAACACAUGCACGCCAAUCAAAUAAGUAACACACCACGCUACAAGCUUAAGUGGGCCCAAGCCAUACGAACGCCUGGGGCUUGCUGAGCGGGUUGCGGCAUAGAUGGUUACGAGUUUUCAUGAGGCCCAUUGAUGAGCCGAGAAAUGGAAGUUUUGGGCUGCUUGGGAGCCCCGAAACUCAAACCCAUUUCUUGAGCCCGAAUAUGUGGGUAAGCAUAAAGGAGAGAAAAAAGCCCAAUACUCUAGGAAAUUAGCCCAUUCCCUUAAUGGGUUAACCCAUAGCCUUAGAAAGGCCCAAGCAACUAAGAAAAAUAUCUACAGCCUCCAGCACUUAGCUGGAGACAAAACCACUCAUGUCUGCAAGCUGCUGGGAAUCUCUAGCACAUGGCCAAAGACAAAUCCCAACACAAGCCAUCCAAAAAACCAAAGGAUACUUGAGCAAAACACCCUUUAGACCAGCGCCAUUACUCACUCAUUUCUCCUACCAACUCUUACCAUGAAAUAAGAGAGAAAAG